rnacentral:lncRNA from 1 species
UACCUCUUAGAAGCUUCAAAUCAAGCUCUAAACUCUCUAAGUCCCGAAAUCUCCCUACCACAAUGCUCCAAAUCCAAGCUCCAAAGGUGGAAAAGCUUCCAAAAGCAUAAAGAGAAGGAUUAAACCUUAAAUCCGAGCCAAAAAGGGGAUCAAAUCCAAAUGGGGCAAGGUGGAGCUCCUCUCACCUUCUCCUCCUCUGGUUCCAGCACAAAGAAAGCCCUAAGGGGCGUGGGUGGUGUUAUAAGAAGGCAACAGUGCAAAAACACUCCUGCAGUUUCGAACUGCUCAAAAUCUGCCGCCUUGUACCGGUACACGGGCUCUUGUACCGAUACAAGGUCCACGAAAUCCAAACCCGAGGCUCGGGUUGCUGGGCUCUGCGGCUCUGUACCGGUACAAGCUCCGAUGGCUGUACCGGUACAACCAUGAACCUUGUACCGGUACAAGCACAACCUUGUACCGGUACAAGCCUGCCAGAACUCAAUCCGAGAGUCAGCCAAAUCCCGUUUUUUCGGGUUUUGGUGCAAGGCUUUGUACCGCAAAUCUCGGGACACGUGCCAUAGGUCGGAACACAGUCAACGACCCACCAGAAAGUCUGGAAAAGCUCAUAACACGGCCAAUCACUCGAACCUCGCAAUUUGCAAAGGUCCAGUGUGUUACAGUUUACUAGUGGCAUUAGACUUAGUGUGAUAGAAACACAUAUGACUUGAACUUAGUAUUGGAUUGGUUAUUGUACUAGAAACUCUAGUUAACGUUGAUCGAGUUGCAUAUUGGGAUAUUGCAUUAUAGGGUGCUAGAUGGCAAUUGUUACAUGUCAUGGCAUGCUAGUGAUAGUGUAGUGUUAAUUGUUUAAUACUUGUACUUAUUAUGCAUGAGAUUGGGACAUAAUGUUGUGAAACCCUAUAAUGGCAUGAUUGGUGUGGAUUAAACUCUAGUUGAGUGACCACCUAGUGUAUAUGUGCAAGUAGUGCAUCGAGAACACUUGAAUUAUGACGAGUGGCAUCUAGUUAAUGUAAACCUAUGACGAGUGGCAUAUGUGAAUCUUAGUGUAGCUGAGACACUAGAUUGAUGAGUUUAGACACCUAUUGGUUUCAUGCUAAUUUCCCUUAGUUGAUAGGGUGCUCCCAAUUAAGAAGGAUUGGAUCGUGCUUACAUAGCCUGUCUGUGCUUGUAGGGUCGCUCCCCACAAGCUGUGCACUCCGGAGUAUUUGUCACUUGAGGGGCAGUCACCAUGCGCUGCCCGGACAGUCAGCGAGUUGUCCGCAGGCGGUCUUGGGGAAUAGUUCAGCGAGGCUUUUCCCUAUGAGUCUUACACACGUGAGAUUGAGAACAAGUUUCGGAAUAGCCGAUCAAUUGGACAAGUUGACAAGUAAAUGCUAUCCUUGAGUAUAGUGGCAUAGUAGUUAGCUUUACUACAAGUGGUCUCGGGGGAUAGUUCAGCGAGACUUCUCCCCUAUGAGAGUUUUCGGGUUAGCCGAACGAUUGGGUAUGUUGAUGAAUAGCCUUGUUGAUGAACAUAGUAGUAUGGUAGCUAGCCUUUACUAUGAGUACAUCGAUAUUGAGCAUAGUCGCUUGGUAGUUGGAUUAGUGGAUUUGCCGACAUACAGUGAGUGGACAUACUAUUACUUCACCUAUAAGAUUUGAGCGGGGCAGCUUGUACCUAGUAGAGCGAGAUUGAGUCGGGCGAGGAGCGGGGUAGAUCUUUGCCUAGGACCUUCGAGAUUGAGUCGGGCAAGGAGCGGGGAAGCUCUUUGCCUAGGACCUUUGAGAUUUGAGAUGUUAGGCAAGUUGGCCUAGUCGAUUGGGUUGUAACAUGAAUAGUAUAAGUAGAUUGCAUUCAUACCAUGAUUAGACAUAGUAGACUGCAUGUCACGCCCCGGGACCGAUACCAAUUUGGCCCGACCCGAGCAUGUCAAACAGACGCCGAACGGACAGAGUUUCCCCUAUCCGCCCAAGGCUCAUCACAUGUACAUUUUCAUCAAUAGAGAAAAGCACUAACGGAAGCAUACACAAACGGCUUACACGAGGGUAAGCAAUAGCCAUUAGUGAAAGAAAAGGAAACUAAACAUUCACUUGUACUAUGAUUCAUUUUUUAUCAUAUACAUUGCAUUCAUCUUGUUCAUUUUCGGAUUCCUUACAUUUCAUUUCAUCAUCUCUUUCUUACAUCACAUUUACCACAAAAUACACAUUACAUUCUUUUCUUUACAUCCUUUACCAUCAUGUACAAAAGAUGAUCGUAGGGUACUUUACUACAAAAUGAAACCCAACUUUGGUGGCCUCUGUCUAAGGCGCGAUACCUUUACCUCGGUCGCUCGCCAGCUCACUCGGUCCCGGCUCUGUGGAAAUAGUGGGGUGAGAACUACAACAAAGUUCCCAGUGGGUUCGGCCUCAACAUCACCGACUUUUCCACUAGGACUAACUCAGGCAUAAUAGAAAGAAUAAGCUGCAUAUAGUAACCAAUCUAUACAUGAUGCUAAUAUGUCUGAACAAUAAAGCAAGGGGUAUGCUCAACAAUAAAUAAAUGCAGAUUAUGCAAAUUCUUUCGUUCUUUAUCUUUACACUUUGUUCUUUGUUCUUUGCUCUUUGCUCUUUGUUCUUUAUUCUUUUCUCUUUGUUCUUUAUUCUUUAAUCUCAAGGCUAACCCGGGGGUUUCGCCACAUUAACUUGCUUCACAUUAAGUCCCAUCAUCGCAGGAACUCACCCGCUAGGACCGUCCUUCGGGUUUACUCCAACCCGUGAUGCAUAACUCCGGAGCGCAUCGCCCGAGGGGAGCGACCGCCUCCGGAGCACGGAACUCAUAGCAAGUAUGAUCAUAUCCUUAACUCAAAGGAUUUAUAAGUUCAAUCUUGACUUUACACUAGCUCUAGUGUUCUUUAUGUCACUUUAUGUUGCAACUCUAGCAAUCGUUGUUCUUUACUUUUUCUUUUACUUUGCCAUCUUUAGCAUUCUUGUCUUUACACUUCUUGUUCUUAUUGCCCAUUUUACUUUAACUUUACACAUUGUCAUUUCAUCAUCCUUUACAUCACUUUGGUUCUUUGCUCACACUAACUCUAGUGUCACUUUACUUUACGUUUCAAAUGCCACUCGAUCUAUGUCAUUGUGCCACUCGUUUCUUUUGGCUCACUUUAGCACUCACAUUUCUCUCAUGCAUACAUAUAGGGUUUCUAACAUUCAUAAGGUUCUCAACCAUCACAUUUGGCAAGAUGUACUCACAAUCAUGGAACAUCACAUUUUUAUCAUCACUUUACCCUAAAAUGCAUGCAACAAAUAAUAUAACAUAUGCUCAAUUGAAUGACACAUUAGGCAUAGAGGAAAGUUCAACGAGUUUGAGAAGCACCACCCCUCGUAGGCUUUCAAAGGUGCUCCGAUGAUUUUCUUUGGGAUUUUUAGACUUCUCGUUCUUUACCUGCGGCAAAACAAAGCCAAAUUAGGCUUAUUUGGCCAUAACUUUACAUUGGCUUUUCGUAACAUUAAUCCGAGCGCACCAACGCGUCGGAAAUACCCCCAAUUAGGUUUCUAGAGGGUCAAUUGCACUUAGAAAUCCCUAUGAGCGAAAGCCCCAAUUUUGGUGCCCUAGCUCCAUAGCAUCAUCAAACCUAGGGUUUGAUCUCAAAGAGAAGCAAAAGUAGCUUCAAUAUACUCUAAAGAGUUCAUCUAAACCAUUCCUAGCUCAUUCCAAACCCUAGUUUGGAUUUCACCAUGAGAGGGGUCAAGCUCUCCUUCAAGCUUUACCUCCAACACCAAACCCAUGGUCUUGAUCUCAAAGGAAGCAAAAAAAAAGCUUCACAUACUCUGAAAGCUCCUUAAAAACCAUUUCUAGGUCAUUUGGCUCUCACCUUAGGGUUUUAGCAUGAUUAGGGUUGAAGCUUACCUCAAAGCUUUCCCUAACUUGCACUAGAGAGGAAGAAGAUGAAGUGGCUUCACUCCAAUAGCUUCUCCUCCACCUUCUUUUCCUUCUUUUCCUUUGUCUUCUUCUUCUCCUUCUUUGUCUUCUAGAGAGAGAAAGAGAGGAGAGAGUGUGAGAGGGAGUGGAAUGAGAGAAAAUCUCAUUAGCCCUCAUAACAUAGCUAUUGGGUUGCAUAAUUGCUAUAAACCCCUCAACUUUCACUUUAAUACACUGCCCGAACUGGGCAGUUCGCGCAGGCGGGGACCGGUCUCUCCUUCAGGGACCGGUUCCCGAAGGUCGUCCCAGCGUAGCCAGAGCUGCUGCGCGCAGUGCAACCGGUCUCUCCUUGGGGGACCGGUCUCUCGGGGACCGGUCUCUCAGGCAGGGACCGGUUCCCGAGAGCUGGUUUUUCAGGACUUAGCCGAUUUUUCGGCUGUCUCACUUCAUACGCGUUCGGGGACCGGUCUCUCCCACCAGGGACCGGUCCCCGAGAGCUCAAAAUCUGCAGUUUUGCAGAAUUUGAUUCUUUAGCUCUCGAAAACCUUCCACAACGUACUUUUAAUCAUUUUAACACCUUCGGACUUUCCGAAGUGUACCAUCCUCGCACUUUGGUCAAUUUGACUAAAGUUUGAUACUUAUUUUUCGAAUUUUUGGUAUAUUACACUGCAUAACUAUGUUGUAGUUGUAUUCAUUACACUGUUGAAGUAUACUAGCAUGAUAGUAGGUUAUUGCUAGAUGAUGUUCCAUGCAUUCUUUGCAUUUGAUGGCAUAGUAGAUAUAGUAGCAAUGUAUUUCUAUCUACCUUUCUAUCUAUCUAUCUGUGCCAGCUUGGACCUAGUGGGAAGAUCGGCGAAGUCGGCGGCCGAACCCACUAGGAACUAUAUUUAUAUAGUUCUCACCCUGUGUCGUUUUGGGGUACAGGUACACACGAGAGCGGACCGGCAGAUGAUCGCGGUAAGGGCUUAGCGCCCUAGUGCUAGUUAGUAGAUGCUUUCCUACUGCAUUAGGGUUACCCUAUAUAUUGAGAGUAGAUGAUGUAUAGGGCGUGAGGUAUAUUUUGAGAUGAAUGUAAACUAAUGUUUAUAUUUUGGGGAAAUGCAAAGUUGUAAUUAAUUGUAUCAUGUUGAAUUAAUGUAAUAGCUUAGUAUCUUUCUCUCUCUUUUGUUUCACUGGUAUUUUUAUUACUCGUGACGCUUGCUCUUGUAAUGUUCAGCACUGUUUGUGCUCCCACUGUUGUUGUAUGAUCGUGUAGGUAUUCAAGUUGAUUUCCUAGGGACUUGUUGUACACGAUCGUGUUGUUUAGCCUUGGGCGGACAUGGGAGGUACUGUCCGUCCGGCGUCCGUUCGCCGCGCCCGAACCGUGCCAAAUUGGUAGCGGUCUCGGGCGGGGGUGUGACAGCAUAGAGGUCCAACAUGCAUUGUAUACAACAUAAGCAUUCUAAAAUUCAUAAAUAAUGCAUCUAACGUGAAAGUGCAUGAUUUUCUAUUUUACGAUACUUAAAUCAACAAAAAUGAGAUUUUCUCAUUUUUUGGUGAGGUCAAACCUACUAAGAGCUCCACAUGACCCUUCGUUGCCACGACUCUCCUAGCUCCAAGACUUUAGGUGUUGUCACAAUGCUACGAUUCCGGUUUCGUGAUUUUUGGAAGCUUACGCCGCGAGCUGCGGCAAUCUAUACCAAAAUCGGCAUUUUCUUCAAUAUCUUCGCGUAGCCUCGUCGUAUCGCCGAACCGACUUCGCUAGCGCGUUCGUAUACCUAACAAUUAGGUUUGAAUAGGUUCAAUUAAGAUCAAACCCCUUUAUAUCGCAAACCCUCUUUUUAAGCCCUAACAUGCUACUACUGCAAGAAAUCACCAAAUUGGAACUUGAUUCAUGCAAUUAACAUGUUAUUAGCAUCUAGGGAGUCCUCUAAACCCAUUCCUAGAGCAUAUAAUUGAGGCUCUAAAAUUCUACCAUUAAAACCCUAUGAAGCUUACCUCUCAAGCUAGCUCCAAUGGCUAAGUGAUGAAGAGGAUGAAGACUUUCACCUCCAAGCAACUCCAAUCUCCUCCAAAUCCCAAACUUAACCUCCAAUUUCUCCUCCAAUUAAUCCUCUUUUGUGAAGAGAGAGAUCUUAGAGACAAAGAGAGAGAGAGAGAAAACAAGCUUGCUCUCCAAGCCUCUCUCGGGUUGGGCACAAAGGAGAAAAAGAGUGCAAGUUCAAAUAUAUAUAUACCCCCAAAAUACUAUUCAUCUAGCAGAACUGACGUUUUUCGCCGAAACCCUUCUGAAUGUUUGAUUGCGCUCAAAUUUGACAGUCAGGCUCGGUUUUACCUAACUAGAAAAAAAAAAUUUAAAUCUUUCCGUUACGACCAUGUUUCGUCACCGAAAGCUCUACCGAACUGUAAUCUCUAAUAGAUAGCAGUCGGAUUUUAUUUUUUACCUUCCGGGUGUCGGAUCGACCUAAAACUUUAAAUCUAGCCUCAUAAAAAUAUUCCUGACAUAUUCCCAAAUUUUCAUAAUUUUUCGACAUUGUAUAUUUUCUGCUAAAAUAUCAGCCCCGUUUCUCACAGAAAAUUUUAAAUUUUCUGUUUUCAUUCCGAUUUCAGCACAAGUCGUUCUCGACUUAUAUUCUACUUCUAUAAGUCCAAUAAAAAUAGUAUCUCACACUAUUUUUAUUUAUUUUUACCCUAUUAUAAAAAUCUGGUAUACUACAUUGCCAUCGAACCGGGAGAUUGAGUUCGUCAUUGAUUUGAUUCCCGAUGCGGCGCCAAUUUCGAAGGCUCCGUAAAGAAUGGCACCGGUGGAGCUACUGGAGUUAAAGGCCCAAUUGCAAGACUUGCUCGAUAAAGGCUUUGUGAGGCCAAGUGUGUCGCCGUGGGGAGCUCCGGUGCUAUUUGUGUCACGCCCCGAGACCGCUACCAAUUUGGUCCGGUUCGAGCGCGUCGAAUAGACGCUAAACGGACAGCACCUCCCUUGUCCGCCCAAGGCUAAACACCCAUAUCGUGUACAAGAAUUUGCCCAGAAAUAAAAAUUCUAUACAUACACAAUCAACGAAGGGCACAACAAGUGCCCACAACUAAGAGCAAGAGUCAUAUGUAUAUACAAGUGAACAAAAGAGAGAUUUACUAGCUAUUACAUCACAUUGCAUUCAUUUACCUCAGGUUACAUUUACAUCUUUUCCAAAAUUGAUACACGUUUACUAAAUAAUCCCAAAAUACAUACAUCAAUAGCUCUCCAAAUUCUCACCUACAUGAGUCCCUCAAAUGUAUAAGGUAAUACUAAUGCAAAAUAGGAAAGCUACUAUGUACUACUGCUCGGGCGCGAUGCCCUUGCCGCGGUCCUCACCCGACGUACUCGUACUACGCCCUGCAACAAAGUGGGGUGAGAACUAUUGUCCAUAGUUCCCAGUGGGUUCGGCAGCCGACUCCGCUGAUCUCCCCACUAGGUCCUAAUGGACAAAAACAGAUAGAUAGAUAGAUAUAAAAAAUGUAAAUGACAUAGUAAGAAAACUAUGCUACUAUACCUAAAUCAUGUGUAAUGUAUGCAUGCAUCAUAUAGUAAGUAGUUUACUAACAUGCCACUAUGUCCACUGCAAUAUCCAAUAAGCAAAUGUUCAAUGACAGUGAUGUCCACUACAAUGUCCAAUAAGCAAAUGUUCAAUGACAGUGCUAUUCUCUUGUUUACUCAAUCCUUAGCGAUCCCUUGGGUCGCCCACGACUCACCUUGCCAUCCCGUAUGGUAAGGAGACUCACCUCGCUCUCAAACCCGGGACCGUCUGCGGGACAUCAACUCUGUCCCUCUCGCACCAAACUCCAGAGUGCACGACGACUUGUGUGGCGCGACCACCACAAGUAUAAACAGACUGUGAGUAUGAUCCAUCCUCUCAACUCGAGGAUACCCUAUCAACUAGGGCUAAAAGUCACUCGGGAAUCCACCUAUCCCAAUGUCCAUAUGUAAGUAUUUAACUACACUAUGUUCUUGUUCAACGAGUCAUCACUAGGGAGUCCACCUAUCCCUAAGUUCAUAUGUCAUUAGUGUCAUUGUACACUACAUUAUAUGCCACUCGUUCUGUUCAUUUGUCAAUCACAUGCCACUCAUUAUGUCACUAGGAAACCAUGAAGUCCAUCUCUUUUCCUCGGCAAUAUAGGAUUCAAUGUCAAGACCCAAUCCCCAUCUAUCCAUAAUACCAAGCAUUCAACUCAUACUAUGAUAUCAAUUAGAAAGCAUAAGGAAUGGAAUAAAAUGCAAUCCUACAAUGCAAUAUGCAAGAGAUGCGAAAUCAUGGUAUACUAAGACAUAGAGAGGAACCCGGUUGCUUCGGGAUGACACCACCCACAUUUUGAUGAUGUCGAGGCUCUUAAGAACCCUACUCGGCACUUGUUAUGAUGUCGUCUCAGCCUCCUAGGCGGAAACGAAGCUCGAUCGGUCUUGUUUUGCCGAUAUCUUUUCAACGACUCGACAAAUGCUCAAUACGUCCUCGCCAACGCGUUUAGACACCUAGCAAUUAGGUUUAGAUGACAUCAAUUGAGAUCAAACCCUAUUAACAAGCAGAGCCCCAAUUUGGAGCUCUAGAUGUGCAUCUAUAGCAAACUAUCCCAAUCAAACUCUAGAUUUAAGCUUUAAACCUCUAUUAAGCAUGCUAGAAUUCUAAUCAAACCAUUUCUAGAGCUAUAAAUCCAAACCCUAGGUUUCUACCAUUAAUGAGCUUGGAAGCUUACCUCUAAGCUUGCUCCAAUGAUGAGGAGAGGAAGAAGAAGAUGACCAAGGCCCUUCUCUAGCUUGCUUCUCCUUCUUCUCCACCUUCUUCUCCUUCCUUUCCUUCUUCUCCUUCUUCACUUCAAGAGAGAGGGAGAGAGAGCUUAGAGAGAGAAGGAGAGACGGUUGGGUGUGAAAAUGAGAGGGAUAGAGGGUGAUCUCCAUUCUAUACCCCUAACUAAUGCAACAAUUGCAUCCAAGCCCCUCAACUUUGCUUCUCUCACACUGUCCAGACUAGGCAAUUUUUGUGCUCGGGGACCGGUCUAUCCCUAAAGGGACCGGUCCCCGAGAGCCUUUCCUGUGGGCAGAGGCUCUCAGCCAGUUUAUAAGCGUACGGGGACUGGUCUUCCCCGCCAGGGACCGGUCCCCAAGAGCAUAAUUGGUGCGUAGCAUUUUUCUGCCACUCACUAUGCUUACGGGGACCAGUCCUUCCCACCAAGGACCAGUCCCCGAGAGCAAGACUUGUGCGCAGAGCUUCUCUGCCGCACCCUUUGCUUACGGGGACCGGUCCUUCCCACCAGGGACCGGUCCCCCAGAGCAAUUUCUGCAAAGUGCAGAUUUUUGCACAACUUGUUCUCGCGGGUCCGUUGCAAUACACUUUUUGGGUUUUUGACUUCUUCGUCUUUUUAGAAGCAUACCCACUCGACAAUUAGUCGAUUCUGAGCGAAGUCCAACUCUCGGAUUUCGAGAAUUCACUUCCUUACAAUUUGUAAGAAAAAAAAGAUGGCACACUUUGACUCUGUGUGGAUUAUCGCGAGUUGAAUAAAGUGACAAUUAAGAAUAAGUACCUGUUGCCGAGAAUUGAUGAUUUAUUCGAUCAGUUGCAAGGGUCGAAGGUGUAUUCGAAAAUUGAUCUUCAAUCGGAAUAUCAUCAGUUGAAGAUCCGGCCGAAGGAUGUGCACAAAACGGCGUAUCGUACGCGGCAUGGCCAUUAUGAGUUCACGGUAAUGCCGUUUGGGCUUACUAAUGCCCCUACAGCAUUUAUCGACUUGAUGUGUCACGCCCCGGGACCCGGCAUAGGCUCUGCCCGGUGCGUGCUGAGACACGCCAUAUGCCUGCACAUAUAAGGCGUCUAUAACAAAGUCAUAUGAAAGAUAAAAUAAACAAUGACUAACGAUAUCAGAGCAAAUAUGCAGCUAAGUUCUAUCAACAAGCGGAAAUAAAAAGGAAAAAAAAAGAGACUAAACCAUUAGAACAUAAAGAAACUAAUACAUCAUAAGUCUCCAGAUACAAAAGUAGGGUGGUCUCUAUAAUAAGUUACAAAACUCUCACAACCUCUCCAACAGAAAACAAAAGAGAGGUGAACCACCUAUCGCCAAAUCCCUCGAUANCGAGUUUCCUUACUGUGUAAUCCGUAUCUCUCUUCAAGUUACUCAAACUUUUCGUGGUGGGUGGAGCAUCCGGAGGUUUCCACGAGGUUGCUAAAAGAGGCCUAAAAAUCUGGGGAGCAAGAAAUGGACGCCGUUUUGCUUGGGUUUAAUCCGAGUAAACCGAGUAUUGAAAUGUAGCUGAAAAGCAUUGUAAUUAGGCUCGCGUGGUUGCGUAGCCUUUAUGGGGGUUAAUCCAAAGAUCUCCCAGUUAACGUGAAUCUUUAGGGAGUACUCGUUUUCGGGGUUAAACCCACGGGAUCGAGGUUAUCGUAGUACAGUUUGGAUCCCAAACUAGAGUUUCUCUUCGUUUUCAUCGAAGUUAUAUGAGAUUUCUUGGGUAGAUCUUGGUAAGGAUCCGAGUAAGGUUUUGGGAUCAAACCUAAAGUGGUACUCUCCACCCAAGUUCGAGUGGAAGUUCGAAAUGGAGGUUGUGGUUUGGGUACCUGAACUAGAGUUUUCUUCGUUUUUUUUUCGAAGUGUUUGAGAAGUUUAUGAGGUAAUUUUUGGUAAAGAUUCAGUAAGUUUUGAGUGGGAUCCCAAAAUGGUGUUAUAUCCUAGUUUCGAAUGGAAGUUUCGAAAGGGAUUGAACGUGAUCUCUCCUUCUUCUACUUCGGCGAAGUGAGGUUUUCGAAGAGGAGGUGGAAGGAAAGGAAGAAAAGGAAGGACAGAAAGGAAGAAGAGGAAGAGGAAACGGAAGAUCUCUCUCUUUCUCUCCUCUCUCACAUUCUCCCUCACCUUACUCUCUUUCCUAGAGUAGUCGGGGGUAUUGUAUUGGUAACCCAACGUGUUAACGAUAAUUUGGGGAGUUGAAAGUGACAUUAUGUUGACGGGCUUGACCCGUCAAAAGCGCGUCCGCCCCUGGCCAGAGGGGCUGAUCCCUGGCCAGGGGCUCUCGAGCAGGGUCGCGUCGGUCUCGACGACGCGCGUUACGUUGGCCAGGGAGGAACCCCCUGGCCAGAGAGCCCCUGGCCAGAGAGUCUGUCCCUGGCCAAGGGCUCUCGAUGAAAGAGUCCUGAAUCGGCUAAAAAGCCGACAGAGUGAAGUACGUGCGCAAGCCCCUGGCCAGAGAGGGUGGUCCCUGGCCAGGGGCUCUCGAGUUUUAGACGUCAAAACGUCUUAAGUUAGGAGAUCGAGAGCUUUUGGAAGGUGUUGCGUGAAAAUUGGUAAAAUUGUGGAAGCCUGAAAGGCUUCACAUGGUAGGAGCGUGAAACCAGUUAAACUGAUUUCAAGCUGUAUGAAUAAAAGGCUUAAAAGCCAUAUAAUGUAAGAGGUGGGGAAUUUUAUUACAGCAGGCGCUUUAAUGCGUAUGUAAUGUGAGCAGCUAAGUCAUAUGAUCGUACUAUCAUCCAAUAACGAUCUACUACAAGGUACGUAAGAAACGUAAACUACCGUAUCAUCUAUAUCAUCGUUACAUAAAGAUAGAUGGAAAGAUAGAUAGAUAGACACGGUCGAACCUGGAUCACCCUUCUAGCCGCUUCAGCCGCCGGCUUGGGUGAUCCUUGAUAUAAAUAUAUCAAGAGUGGGACACAGCAAAACCCCAUGUCCAUGUGUGCUCUCGCCUGGCCGUCUACUAGCGCCAUUCCCGAAUCGCGGGAUCACGAUCAAUCAUCUACGAAAGGAUGACGUAAUCCCAAUGGGAUAUAUAACUCUCAUCUACUACAUAUCCCGCACUCCAUAUAAAACUCUACUUACAUUUGAUUACAAAUAUAAAACCCCUUUACGUUUCAACAUUAAUUAACAUAGUACAACUUAAUUACAUUAUCGAAUCAUAGAAAGAGAGAGAAAACAAAGUGACCAUAAAAAUAAUGAGCACUGCGAACGAGAACAUUACAAGUCGUGACAAACACGAGGGUGACAACAACAUACUAGCACAUCCAUAAGUUCAACUAAAGGAUCCCUGAACAACAUGUGCUAGCACAACAAAUCGGAACCCGCCUGUACCCUCCAUGACAGGCAGGCCGCAGGCAAGCGGCGCGGGCUUGGCACGGUUUAACCAUCGCCAGAGCCCGCCCCCACACUGUCGUAUCUCCAGGUUGUACGUAACAUAUGUUGUAUUCGUAAGAUUUUAAGUAUUUAUUACGUAGAUUGCACUUUCACGUACUAAAAGAUAAAAUGCUAUGAAUUUAGUUGUUUUUACUCUAAAAGAGUAAAAAACCACUCCAGUUUGGAUGAUUCUCGAGGUGUACUGGGAAGCAACGGUGCUGAGAGGAUCGAGGUUCUGAAAUCCACAACAGUGUUACGAUGCUAAGGCCAAAGCACUAAAAACCUUCGAAUGCGGCGCUCGACGCCGUUAGAUAUGGUUUUAGCCGUAAAAGAAGUUAUAGAAGCGCAUCGGAGCAGCAUAGCGGCUUGGCUGAAGCGAUCGCGCAAGCAUAUGGAUUGUUAAUCCAAACUUAUCCAAGUUAAUUCUAGUUUGGGGAAAUAUAGCGUUUGGGAGAAAAAUUCGGGAUUGUACGAUGAUGACGUUCUUUAGUGGUUUAACCUUGAACUAAGUACGUUAAUUGUACAAUAAUCGUAGAUCCCUCAGGAGAUUUGGGUAAGGAUCUCGUAUAUUAACUCCGAGAUUUUAAGAUGGUAAUUUUGGGAUACUUCGAAUGGAGAGUUCGAUCGAGGUUACCGAUUCACUACUUCUCCUACUUCUGAAAGUGGAGGUUCGUUGAGGUUAGAGGAGGUUUAGGGUUUGAAUUGGAGGUUAAAGAGGAGGUUAAUUAGGAGAAAACACUUCUCUCUCUAGAAUCUCUGUUUCUCUCUCUCUCUCUUUUGUUCGAACGAGAGGUUCGGAGAGAGCCCAACCCGUGUUUCCUCUUUUUCUCACGUUCAAGUUUAUAUAUAUAUGGGGGUUUUAUGAUAAGUAGAUCGUCUUGACUGCAAAAAGCGGCUUUGGGAAGACUUACAAACUAACGCGAGUUUAAACUGUCAGUCCGAGCCAAAAUGGAUUGAUCUUUUUUUUUUAAAUUUAGAAAGGCAAUGCUGGUACAAAGCAGUGGCUUUCGAGAUGGCUUGACAUUAGAGAUUAUCUAUCGUCAGCCUAAAAUAAAAAAUGGAAGGCCCACAGCCUAGCUGGAUUUUGAAAUUUAGAUCGGAGUAUUUUUAUAAGGACUGUAUAAGGGUUUAAAAGUAUUAAAAAGCUGUAACAUAUAAAAGACGAUUUUAUAGUCGGGGCAAAGAGUGUCUUUUAAAAUUUAAAAGACAAAAGUAAGGCUAAAGUCGUGUUCAGCAAGAGCUGAAUAUAAGAUGAAGAUAUUCAGGUUAUUUUUAUCAUAGAGUGUGAUAAAAAUAAAUAAAAAUGGGAUAAUAUUUUUAGACCAUAUGAUGUAACGGUAGCUUGGCCCUCUAACUCAAGCAGUAACUAAACUAAGGGCUACGCCGCGGUUAAAGCUUCCGAGGCAUUUCUUACCGUGGCCACCUCGAUGACCUCAAUUUCCGGGUUAACGUUCUGAACGAGCUAUUUCCGAAACACUCCGGUUCACACAGCGGCACCCCUCGAGGCCACGAUAAACACAGUGCGGGGCUCUGGCGAUGGUUAAACCAGGCCAAGCUCGCGCAGCUUAUCUGCGAUUUGCCUGUCGUGGAGGGAACAGGCGGGUUCCGAUUUGUGGGUAUAGCACAUGUUCUUAAACGGGUCUUUAUUUUUAAGAUAUGUAUGUGUUAGUUGCUUCCCGUGUUGUUCACGGGUGUUGAUUCUCGUUCUCAGUAUACAUAUAUGUUCACUUGUUUUCUCUCUAAAUGAUCGAUAAUGUAGUGUAACGUAAGUAAAUGGAGUCCAAUGUAAAUGUAGAAAAGGUUUUAACUAUGUGCAAAUGAUUUAUUAGGGUUUUAUGUAUGUAGUUAUCGAGAGGUUUAAGAGUGGAUGUACUCAGGGAGUUUACAUAUUCCAUUAUGAUUACGUUUUAUCCUUUCGAUGAUACAUGAUGACGAGCCCGCGCUACGGGAACGGCGCCAGGAGUGGGCUGCAUGAGCAUGAUGCGGGACGUUGUUUCACCCCACUCUUGAUAACAGGUAUCAAGGGUCACCCAAGCCGUCGGCUGAGGCGACUAGAGGGGUGAUCCAGGAUUACCUGUUUUUGUCUAUCUAUCUAUCUAUAUUUUUUACAUUUACUGUAUCAUUCUUUUGAUACGAUGAUAUGGAUUUAGUACACAUUACAUACGUACGUAGUAUAUCAUUCAUCAAAUGAUUGUACGGUGAUACAGGUGACGUUAUAGGUUAUUCGUUUACAAGUUACUGUCACUACAGGUGAUGUUACAGGUUAUUCGUUUACAAGUUACUGUCACGAUAAGAGAACAAAUGAGUUAGGAAUCGCUAGGGAACCCAGCGGGUGCUGAGUGGAACGGUAGGGCAUACCAUUCCUCUGAGUGGAGCGAGAGUUUGGGCCCUGGCAGACGCCCUGUAGUUGAGACAGGGAGAGCGUGGUUUGAGGUCUCACGUGCUGCUGAACACACCGCGCUGGUGGUGUUCAUAUUUGUCUGACACUCAUACUAGGUAGGAGAGUUGAGCUCCUAUGGGAUAGUUGAUCCCGAUUUUCAGUGAGCCCUUAGGUGGAUAGGGUUACAGGUAUACAUUCAUAAAUUGAUGUGAUACAAGAACAAGUUGCUCAGUAGUGAUCCCUCAGGUGGAUAGGGAUUCAAGUAUACAGUAAUCACAGUAACAUGUGAUGUAAUAUACGGUGAGCAAGACAAGUAAACAGUUAGUGUACGGUGAGUAAUACAGUGAUCCUUUGGUACUUCAGGUAGAGAAAAGGAGCCGUUAUAUCCUAAGUUACAGUUCUGGGUUAGGGGUAGAUAGGUAUUAUGGUUCGUAAGUUGAGUAUGAUACUAUAGUUAAUCUUUCGUAUUCCUUACCUUAUUUUACGUUAGGAUGUUACGUUAUACGUUCUCUACGCUUUAGUACCAUAUGAUUCUGUAUCUCUCCUUGGGCCAACGAAGCCCUACUGUGGUGGGUGUAAAACUACUACAGCUCCGAGAAUUCUUGGGAUGAGCCGUGAACAAUACUACAGCAGAGUCGGAGGAUCCGCCUUUGCUUCGAGCUAGCCAGAACAAAACGGCUAUAGAAAAGUUGCUGAGCUGUUUACGAGUUAUGCAGGAGCGGUUGCGCAAAUCUGUGGAUCGUUAAUCCAAAUCUACUGUAGUUAACUCUAGUUUGGGAUAAUUGUUCGUCUCGGGGUUAAACCUCGAGAUCUACACGUAGAUAUCGUUUGAUAGGGUUAGUUUGAGAUCUAAAUUCGAAAUUUGGAGAUAAUUCGUACGAUCUUAAGAUUAGUUUGGUAAAGAUCUCGAUAUUUAGGUUUGGGAUCCAAAGAUGGUAAUUACUCGAACCUUCGAAUGGAGAUUCGAACGAGGUUACUACUCCUCUCCUUCUUCUUCUACUGGUUCCGGGAAGAGAUCGAACGAAGAGGAAGAAGAGGUGGAAGAAGAGGAAGGAAAGGAAGAAGAGGAAGAAGUGAAGUUCUCUCUCCCUCUCUCUCGAAUCUCUCUCUUCCUCUCUGCCAACCCACACUUUUACUCUCCCUAUCUCCCACUAGAGGUAAGAUAUGGGGAUUGAUUACGUUGUUAACGUAGGUUCGGGGAGUUGAAACGAAGAGAGUGUGACAGGUCUGAUCCGUUAAAAACACGAGCCCCUGGCCAGAUAGGGAUUUCCCUGGCCAGGGGCUCUCGGAAAGGACACCCGUCUCCGAGAGUCGGUCAAAUAUUCGCAUGCCCCUGACCAGAAGGGGCGGUCCCUGGCCAGGGGUUCUCGUAUUAACCACGCAUCGUAAAAAGACGGUGAGUGAUACGAAUGCCCCUGGUCAGGAAGGGUGGUUCCUGGUCAGGGGCUCUCGUUCUGAACACGCGUCUCGAAGAGACGGCGUGGGAAACGAAUGCCCCUGGCCAGGAAGGGUGGUCCCUGGCCAGGGGGUCUCGUUAAAGACGUUUCACGUCUAAAAACGUGUUGAACAAGAGCGCCCAGGCAACGUUAUGUGAAAAACCCAAAAACUGAAGAAGCAGAAAAAUCUUCGUAUGGGUGAGCUGUUAAUCAGCUAAGACUCGCUUCAGGUUGAGAGCCUAAAGCUCUUAAGUGAAGGAAUGUUAAACAUUCUUUUUUUUCUACCGUGUGAAACUGAGACACACCUAAUAGCGCUCAACUUAUUUCACUGUUAAUUCUUAUUCAUGGACAACGGCUCUUAACUACUAAAUAAGCUAGUCAACGUUCCCAGCUUCCACAUAAGCUUUUAACUAGAAGUUAGCCUUAUAGUAGUCAACUUCUAGGCCGGCUUCCUACACGUGUUUUGCCGCAUAGCAUGCGCCGUACCGGUAAUACUCAAGUGCCAUUACGGCAAACCCGAAUGAUUACGGGGAUGUCGUAAAUAGCUGAACUACACAGUGCGGGGCCCUGGGCCGUAUCCGAGACGGGCCACGCACGACUCUGUGCGGUAUACGGACGUGUAUAUUCCGCAGAUAUUGUUUCAGUAUACUUUCUAUUUUAUUUGUUACUGAUUGCUAUAGUCUCGUUUAUACGUCGAUUCAAGAUAGUUGUUCGCCUUUAUUUUUCCUUUUUUUUUCUCUGAUUUGGUAAUCUUGUAUUUCUUUGAUUAUGUAGUAUUCAGAGGUCUAUGUUUUCAUCCCACCAGAGAUAUUAUUCAAUGUUUUGAGAGUGUUGGAGAGGUUGUCUUUUGUUUUCUCUCCACUUGGUGGAUAGCGGUUUAGGGAGCUAUCGAUCGAGCUCCGCUUUGGAAAGGGCGCUAGGGCUUGGGGAGGGCCUCACCUUCCGAGACUUUUUUUUGUAUUUUAUCCCCCCGUACUCUUGAUAUUAAAUAUCAAGGGUCACCCGUUAAUGACUGGACGUGGUUGACGUGAUGAUCCGGGGUUUCUCUCGUCUAUUCCUAUUGUAUUUAAUUGACGCCAUUUAUUCCGUAUUAUAAUUUUACGAUGAGAUGAUACGGUGUUCAUACAUCUUACAGUUGUACCUCAUGUAGAUGAGAUGUACUAGGUCAUACGGUUAUGAAUUUGUUCAUACGAUACUACGUUGUUCAUUAUGAUACUUCAUAUUAUAUAUAGAGUUUCGGUUGUUGUAUAGAUCAUACAUGAUAGGACCGUUAGGUUCAUGUGAUGUUACGGUAUUCGCUAUGGCAGCUCAUAGGAUACUUAGAGUUACAGGUUGGGAUACGGCAUCGUACAGUUCCUUAGGUUGAUGAUACUGGACAGAUCAUCACUAAUAGUUGAACAACUAAUUAUAAGACUAAGUUAGAGUAAGUCCUAGAUGUGCCCACAUCAGGCCGAACACGGCAGAUUCACGGACACCAUCGGGUUGUAAGGACGAGAACCUUACACAGACAGAGUGAGCUGGGGCAUCCGAAGAAUUAUGGCGUGCUCGCUCGUAUACAGCGCAUCCGAUUGAGGCCUCACAGCCGAACAUCCCUCGCUGGGCAUGUUCGUACACGCUUACUCGUGUUUACCGUUCGUUCGUACCAGUUUUGGAGUUCAUGGGUUAGUAGUACAGAGAUUGUACCAUUGUCAGUGAUCGUUGGGUUUCCAGAUCAUGAUACAGAGUUACACUUCCAACUUCGGUAUCGUUAUUUAUGUUACAUGUUUCAAGGUUGGUCCUUGUGUAAAGUUAGUUCUAAGGUAUUAGCGUUCCACUUGUUUGUUGUAUUGUGUAGAAUACAAUAAUGUACGUAAGUGUAAAUACUGUAGAAUGUAGUGUUUAUGAAUAAUGUAGAUUGCGAGUUUAUGUUAGGCUAAAUUGUACUAAUCAUGUUAGAAUACUGCAAGUCGAAGAAUGUAGUAGUUCUUUUCGGCUGAGUUCUGUGUACGAUAGAGACCAGCGCCAGCAUCUCGCGAUUGAUUCAUACAAGAAAAGUUAUGUUGAUAAUUGAACCGUAUUAAGAGUAUUAUUAUUGUACGUGUACGUUAAAUGUAUAGGUAGUUCAGAUUACGGCGAAAUACUGUAAUCGAACGAUUCAGGUAUAGAUCAGGUUCGGGUUACGGCGAAAUACUGUAAUCGAAUGAUAAACAUAUGUGAGAUCGGAUACAGUGAAUUACAGCUAUACAGGUUGGUACAGUUAGUACGCAAGAUUCGGGUUCUCACAUUAUAUAUACGGUAUACGUGGUAUACGUUGUACUAGAGUUAGUUAACAUUCUUACGAUUGGCAUCCGGGGAUCGGGUUGUACUUUUGAGAGAUGAUAUAUCUCCAGUUUAUACGUAACAUAUAUUGUACACGUAAAAUUCGUAAGAUUUUAAGUGUUUAUUACGUAGAUUGUAUUUAUACGUACGAAAAGUAAAAUGUUGUAAAUUUAGUAGUUGUUACUCUCAAAGAGUAACACACCGAUCCAGUUUGGGUGGCUUGACAGCACAUCAGGGAGCAAAGCGGCUUGCCUCAACAGGUGCUCAGAGUUUUAUGGGAUUUUCAUUACUCGCUUCCCUAUGUGUUCCUAAUGCUUGUUGCUUAUUCAAUUUGUAAUUGGUUGAGUUUCUUUCCCGGUUUUGAGUGGAUACCACCACUUUUAGGGAGUGUUCGAGGUUUACCUUCGAUCUAGGGAAGGUUAGGUUGGAUCUAUCUCCAAGAUUUUCCUAAUUAACUCGAGGUUUUCGGGAUCUAGUUUUUAGGGGUUUGGUUUGUGAUUAAGGAAUAAAGAUCCCAAAGAUAUGUUUUUGGUAUUUUUAGUACUAGUUUUCUCUUUAUCAUUCGUUGAUUUGAAAGUACUUCGGGGGUUUGUUCCUAGUUUUGGAUGAUCCCAAACUCUAGAGAGGAGGUUGUUUGAGUUGAGGUUCGAGGGUUCGAAGAGGGUACCACCUUUAUCGUGGUUUUUCGUUUUUCCUUGUUUUUCUCUCCUAAGUUGGAGUUUUUAGAGUUGGUUUUUCUUCUUUUUCUUUCACCCCUUCUCCUCUUGAGGGAGUGGAAGAAGAGGUGACGACCGUUCGGGUCCUUUGUGGUACCCCGCACCCCACAUAAACAUUAUUACGAUGUUAUUGUUUUUGUGGGAGGUUUGGGCUCGUCUGACGUAAGACGUGACGCAUGGCCAUGUGCCCGGGCGCAUGGCCAUGUGAAGGGUGCUUUUCCGGUUUGGGCUAGGAGCUCAGCCCCAUAGUAGUUCAUGGGCAACGGUUCCUAACUGCUAGAUAAGCUAGUCAACGUUCCCAGGUUCCACAUGAGUUUCUAACUAGAGGUCAGCCCCAUAGUAGUUAAUUUCUAAUCCGGUUUCCUACACGUGUUCUGUCGCAUGGCAUGCGCCAUACCGGUAAUACUCAAGUGCCACUACGGCAAACCCGAAUGAUUACGGGGCCGUCGUAAAUACCUGAACUACUUAGCUCAGAAAUCUGGCAACAACCUAGCUACGCAGCACCACAAGUAUCUACUGCAUAACCAGAUAAGCUUUUCGCUUCUCCUAUAUGUACUAUAUAUUGUUGCAUGCAUUUUAGGGUAAAGUAAUGAUGAAAUGUGAUGAUUGCAUGAUUGUGAGCACAACUUGCAUAAUGAGAUGGUUGAGAACCUAAUAAUGUCAAAACCCUAGAUGUAUGCAUGAGAGAAAAUGUGAGCACCCAAAGUGAGCAAAAGAACAGAGUGGCACAAUGACAUAGAUCGAGUGGCAUUUGAAAAUGUAAAGUAAAGAGACACUAGAGUUAGUGUGAUGCAAAGAACUAAAGUGAAGUAAAGAAUGAAGAAAGUGACAACGUGUGAAGUUAAAGUAAAAUGGGGCAAUAAGAACAAGAAUGCUAGAGUUAGCAAGUGAAAUGAAAAUGUUAAGAACGUGAUUGCAUGAGUUUGCAACAUAAAGUGACGUAAAGAACACUAGAGCUAGUGUAAAGUCAAGAUUGAACUUAUAAUCCUUUGAGUUAAGGAUAUGAUCAUGCUUGCUAUGAGUUCCGUGCUCGAGGGCGGUCGCUCCCCCUCGGGCGAUGCGCUCCGAAGUUAUGCAUCCGGGUUGGAGUAAACCCGUAAGGACGAUCCUAGCUGGUGAGUUCCUGCGAUUAUGGACUUAAUGUGAAGCAAGUUAAUGUGGCGAAACCCCCGGGUUAGCCUUGAGAUUAAAGAACAAAGAGCAAAGAACAAAGUGUAAAGAACAAAGAACAAGAGUAAAGUGAAAAGGAUAAAGAAUUUGCAUAAUCUGCAUAUAUUUAAUGUUGAGCAUAUUUCUUGCUAUUUGUUCAGGCAUAUUAGCAUCAUGUUAUAGAAUGGUUACUAUCUUACUUAUCCUUUCUAUUAUGCCUGAGUUAGUCCUAGUGGGAAAGUCGGUGAUGUUGGGGCCGAACCCACUGGGAACUUUGUUGUAGUUCUCACCCCACUAUUUCCACAGAGCCGGGACCGAGCGAGCCGGCGAGCGACCGAGGUAAAGGUAUCGCGCCUUAGACAGAGGCCACCAAUGUUGGGUUUCAUUUUGUUAGUAGACACCCUUUUUUCAUCUUUUGUAUUUGAUGAUUAGUGAUGUAAAGAAAGAAUGUAAAGUUUAUUUUGAGGAAAAUGUGAUGUAAGAAAGAGAUGAUGUAAUGAAUGUAAGAAUUUGUUAACUUAUUAGAUGAAUGCAAUGUAUGGGAUCCAAAGUGAAUCAUAGUACAAGUGAAUGUUUAGUUUUCCUUUUUCUUUCACUAAUGGCUAUUGCUUACCCUCGUGUAAGCCGUUUGUGUAUGUUUCCGCUAGUGCUUUUCUCUAUUGAUGAAAAUGUAUAUGUGACGAGCCUUGGGCGGAUAGGGGAAACUCUGUCCGUUCGGCGUCUGUUUGACGUGCUCGGGUCGAGCCAAAAUGGCAUCGGUCCCGGGGCGUGACAGUUGUUGGACCGGUGCGUCGUGGUAUUCAUUGAGGACAUGUUGGUUUAUUCACGGAGCGAGAAGGAACACAAGGAACAUUUGAGGACCGUGUUGCAAAUACUCCGGAAAGAGAAGUUAUAUGCCAAGCUAAAGAAGUGUGAAUUUUGGCUUUCGGAGGUUACCUUCUUAGGCCAUGUUAUAUCCGGGAGUGGCAUCUCGGUGGAUCCAAAGAAAGUUGAAGCAAUUAAAGAUUGGCCUCGCCCGACAAGUGUAGCAAAAAUCCGUCGCUUUCUUGGACUUGCGGGCUACUACCGGCGGUUCGUGGAGGGGUUCGCCAAAAUAAUUACUCCACUAACGCGCCUUACGCACAAAGGAGUGAAGUAUGUUUGGAGCGACGAUUGCGAUCGGAGCUUCGAGGAGUUGAAAGAAAGAUUGACAUCGACCCCGGUGCUUGCCUUGCCGACGCCGGAGGAGAUCUUUGUAGUAUACAGUGAUGCUUCAUAUAUUGGUCUCGAGUGUGUUUUGAUGCAAAAUGGGCGAGUCAUUGCAUAUGCUUCGCGCCAAUUGAAGAGUUAUGAAAAGAACUACCCGACUCACGACCUUGAGCUAGCCGCGGUAAUAUUCGCGCUAAAAUUGUGGAGGCAUUAUUUGUACGGUGAGCAUUGUGAGAUUUAUACGGAUCAUAAGAGUCUCAAAUACUUGUUCACCAAAAAAAAAUUAAAUAUGCGACUGCGGCGGUGGUUAGAAUUGCUAAAGGACUAUAAUGUUACUAUUCUAUACCACCCCGGAAAAGCAAAUGUCGCGGCUGAUACUCUAAGUAGAAAAUCGGUGGAAAACUUGGCUUCGGCAAUUACACCCCAACCGUCAUUGCAAAAAAGAGAUGCAACGGUUUGCACUUGAAGUAGUGGCUCCGGGGGUGCCGACUACUCUUGCCGCAUUGGUUGUGCAACCGACCUUGUUGGAGAAGAUUAAAAAUCUACAAGCUUCCGAUCCAUAUCUCCAAAAAUGAUUUUGGUAUUGGGGUGUGCUGGGUGUAGUUGAAAACGGUAGUGCCGAUGAUUUUGGUAUUGGGACCGAUGGCGCACUUCUAUUCAGAAAUCGUUGGUGUGUGCCCAAAAAUAAAGAUAUUCGAAAGGCAAUUAUGCAAGAAGCGCAUCAAUUGUCUUAUAGUAUUCACCCGGGCGGCACUAAAAUGUAUCAAGAUUUGAAAGUGCAUUAUUGGUGGCCGGGCAUAAAGAAAGAUAUUGGGGAGUUCGUGUCGCAAUGUCUCACGUGACAACAAGUGAAAGUGGAGUGCCGGUUUACGGCGGGAAAACUCCAAAGUUUAUCUAUACUCGUUUGGAAGUGGAAAGAUAUUGCAAUGGAUUUUGUGACCGGUUUGCCUCGAUCUCAAGCCAGGCACGAUGCGAUUUGGGUGGUUGUGGACCGGUUGACGAAAUCGGCACAAUUUUUGCCGAUCCACACCACGUGGUCCGAAGACAAAUUAGCUCAAGUAUAUCUCGACGAGGUUGUGAGACUUCAUGCGGUUCCGGUGUCUAUUGUGUCGGAUCGAGACCCUAGGUUCACAUUUUAUUUUUGGAAGAGCUUACAAGAUGCAUUGGGCACACGGAUCGAUUUUAGCACGGCAUUUCAUCCUCAAAGUAAUGGUCAAUCGGAGAGGGCAAUACAAAUCCUUGAGAACAUGCUUCGGGCGUGUGUACAUGAUUAUAAGGGCGGAUGGCAUGAUUAUUUACCGAUGGCGAAAUUCGCAUACAACAAUAGCUAUCAAGAAAGUAUUGCGAUGGCGCCAUUUGAAGCCCUUUAUGGAAGGAAAUGUCGCUCUUCUAUAUAUUGGAGUGAUGUGGGCGAGAGAGUUGCUCUUGGCCUCGAUGUGGUGUGGGAGGCGAAGGAGAAAGUUCGUCUUACCCGCCAACGACUUGCGACGGCGCAAUCUCGGCAAAAGAGUUAUGCCGACAAACAGAGAAAGGAUAUAGAGUUCGCGGUUGAAGACCGCGUAUUUUUGAAAGUAUCGCCAAUGCGAGGAGUAAAGUGGUUUGGAGUCCGUGGGAAGCUAAGUCCCCGGUAUGUUGGACCGUUUGAAAUAUUGGAACGGGUCGGUGCGGUGGCAAACAAGCUUGCAUUACCACCAAGGCUUGCGGGAGUUCACAAUGUGUUUCAUGUGUCAAACCUCCGCAAGUAUGUUCACGAUCCCGAGCAUAUUCUCUCGUAUGAACCGUCUGAGCUUCAAGAGGAUAUGACUUAUGAGGAGUUCCCAGCGUAUAUCAUUGCUUGAGAGGUGAGAAAACUACGGAGCAGCGAAAUUCUGUAUGUUAAAAUCCGUUGGAGCAAUCACGAUGAUAGGGAAGCUACUUGGGAGCUUGAGGACGCAAUGAGAAAGCAUCAUCCUCAUCUCUUCGAAGAUCUGAAUUGAGGUAUGGAUUUAGAUUUCGAUUAAGCUAGUUUCGCGGACGAAACUAAUCUUAAGGGGAGGAGAAUCUAAUAUACCAAAACUUCAGUAGACUAUAUCAAACUUCAGUCAAAUUGAUUAAAAUAUGCAAAAGAAAUAGUUGGACAAAAUCCAUUUAACAUUCCAACCAUGUUGGAAGGGUUAAAGUUGAGUUCCAAAAGAGUUAGAAAGGUUCUAGCAUUGCUCGGCGCGAAUUGGAAUCGAAAUAAUGCAAAACUGAAAUUUUGGAGCUUUGUAACCGGUUUAACACCAAGGGUGUACCGGUACCAGUAGGCAGACCGAGAGCAGCUGUUCUCGGGUUUGAGAAAAUUUGGUUGUUAAACCGGUGACAGAUCCAAAUGGUACCGGUACCAGACUGCUGACCGAGAGAAGCAGCUCUCGGGUUAGCCUCUGCGAGAUCGUGUUACUGGUGACAAAAAUACCUAGUACCGGUACGCAGUGUCCCUCGCAGCAGACUUUGGUCUGCUGCCAAUAUGAAGAUUGGGAGGGCCUUUUUGCUAUUGUAACAGCUUAUAAAAAAGACCCCACACCUUUCCCUUCUCUCUUUACAGCUGAGAACUCCCUCCUAUCUCAUUUCUCUCCCACUAUCUCUCUAGAAACUCUCUCCCAAGGUGGAUUUGGAGGAGAACUUGGAGAUUUUGGAGGAGAUUUGGAGCUUUUGAAAGGUUAGGGCUCUCCUACAAGGUGGACCUUGGAGAGCUAGUGGGCUAAGGUGAGGUUUUUUUGAUUGAAAGAACUAAGUUAGGGUUUGGUUUUAUACCCUAGAUCUUUCGGCUUUGAUCUUCUUGCAAGGUUAGAAACCUAGUUGAGGCCAUGGAAACCAUGAAAUCCAUAUUUUCUUUAUGUGCUCUCAUGGUGGAUUUUUAGAGUUCAUGUUAGAUCCCCUAGGAAUGGUUUGAAUGACCUAGAAAUGGUAUUAGGAUGAUUCUAAGCUUGUUUUUGCUUAGCUCCAAGAUCAAACCAAGAAAUAUAAUUAUAUGUCAUUGUUAGGGCACCAAAAUUGGGGCUUUUGCCCUAAGUUGGUUUAAAGGCAAAUUGACCUUAUAGAAAUUAAAUUGGGGGUAUUUCUAACUAGUUUAUGAACUUGGUUUGGAGUUCCGACGAGUCUAUAUAAAGGUAUUAAAGAAAAAGCCUAAUUUGGCUUCGUUUUGCCGCAUGCGAGAGAAUAGGCGCCCAAAAAUUACGAAAUUCGAACCGUAUUCCUACAAGGUGGGGGGUGCUAUCCGGAAUCUCUGAAUUCCCUUCUAUGUCUAUGUUGCUUUUUUAUUGAGCAUAUAUGAAUAGUGUCAUUCAUGCAUGAUAGGGUAGUUAACAUAUGGAUGUUGGUUGAGUUUUCAAUUAUAUGUUUCUAACGUAGAUGAACAUAGUAAUUUAUAUAGAACCAUAUGAGACAUGUAUGUUGGAACUCUAUACUUGUGUGAAUGUGAGAUAUGGACUAUGAUAAUAGUAAACAAGAGUGACAUUGAUAUUAGUGAUGAGAUUGGCAUCGAGAUAUGAAUUGUUAAACAAGGUUAAACUAAUUGUGGACUUGUGGCAAGAGUAGUCUAGAGAGUGGCAUAUAUGACAAGAUAGAAACCUGUUAUUUAUUACAUUGUGACAUUGUGGUAUUGUGGCUAGUAGCUAUACAUUCCCAAAUUGGGGAUUGGAUCGAUACUCACAUUUAGUCUUGGCUUGAGGGAGGUAGCUCCCCAUCAAGCGUUGCGCUCCGGAGUUGGUCACCACUGGGCGAGAUAAAGUCCCCCCAGAAGACGAUCCCUAGAGUGGUUCGAGUCCCCCGUUAGAAAGGAAUUUUGGGUUGUGAGUUAUGGGUUAGCAAGUGUUAACCGGGUUAAUUGGGUAAAAGGCAAAGUGAAUGUGGAAAAGCAUGCAUGCAUAUUUAUCAUACAAAUGAUUAUAUAUUGUUGAUCAAUUUUCUUACGAGCAUUAUAUUAGUAGUAGCAUUAGUUGGUUUGUUAUCUUUCUUUCUUGAAAUACAUAUGCCUAAAUAGACCUAGUGGGUAAGUCGGCGAGGUCGGCGGCCGAACCCAUUAGGAACUUCGUUGUAGUUCUCACAGCACUAACCCUACAGAUCGGAGUGCGAGCGGGGCGGCAGAGGACCGAGACAAGGGUUUAGCGCCAUAGCUAGUGGCCACUGGAGUAUAGUCAUUCUUUUUGGUUUAUCUAUCAACUUUUAUUAUGUUGAACUAGUGAUGUAAAAGAAUCAUAUAUUUUGCGUUGGAUGACUAUAUGAUGUAUAAACCAUGAAUGCAAAAAGAAUGAAUGUAAUAACUUUAGUUUAGUUGUAUUUGGUUAAAAUGUAAUCAAAUAUUAUGUAUGUGGUUGUAUGCAGUAGUUUAGAGCUUUCACUAUUUGUUGUUGCUUACCCUCGAGUAAGCCUUAUGUAAUUGCAAAUUUCGUUGUUUGAUUGCAUGAUUAUACUUGCCGUUGGAGCCAUGGACGGAUAGGGGAGGUGCUGUCCGUUCGGCGUCUGUUGACGUGCCCAAAUCCGACCAAAUAGGCGGACCCCGGGGUGUGACACUAACUUAGCCGCAUCAUCAUCAAAUCCGAAAAUUUUACUAAUUUUUCAAAUAUAAAUAUAUCUAAUACUUAUUAACUAAAAUCAUAUCCUAAUUUUUAGAAAUUUAUUUCUUAUAAAAAAUUCUAAAAAUUUAAAAAAGUCACUAAAAUAAAAUUACCAAAAAUAAAAUUCCUAAAAUUAAUUAAAAUAGCCAAAAAAAUGAUUCUAAUUAGUUUCUCUGGCUACAUCAGGUUUUGACUGGGAUUAGGAUUGUGAUAGUUUUAGAGAAAGGGAAAAGAAAAGGAAGGGAUCGGCCAAAAUCUGGCCAAUAAGUAAAAGAAGAUUUAGAGGAGGUGAGAGGAAGAAAAGGAGUCCCUUAAAAUCCCGCCAAUAGGAUGGAGAACAUAAGAGUUAGAGGAGGUGAGAAGGACUUGAAAUCCCGCCAAUAGUAUGGAGAACAUUUUGGAGAGUGUUGGAAACCUCUGGAGUUGAAUGGGAAAAGAAGAAAAGAGCGGCGCACCUAUCCCUCAGCCCAAAUUACCGACCCUACUUGCUUCGCUUUACGAGCAAGGGAAUUUCAUAUAUCCUAUGGAGCUUUUCUUGCUUUUCUUAUAUUUAUUAAUUAUCUGCUAAAAGGACUUGGAUCCCUCUGUUUUCUCUCGCAUACACUUGUGUUGCAGCAACUUUUUACUUAUUGUCAAUUAUAUAACAUCAUUCAAUCCAGAAAUUAAACUAAUUUUGUUUGAAAUAAAUCAAUCAUUUAACUAAAGUUUUUCUACCUCGCUAAUGUUAGUAAAAUAUUAUAAAAUCUAUUUAUGGUGUGCAACAUGACUCUCCUAUGGUGCUCUACGCCAUCGGAUGCUCGGUCCUACUAAAUAUUAAGUUUUGCUUUGUCUAUGCAUAAUUACAUACGCCAAAAAUUAGUAUAGUACUUUGAGAUUGAGAAAUAAAAGAAGUGCUCUGAAAUUAUGCUGAUAAUAAUUAAGAGAAAUAGUACGGGUCCCACAUUACAAGUUCGUGCUUAACCAACGACAGUGUCUGUUUCGCCCGGCGACAAUACCAAAGCAUGGCAUUACGAUCUUCAACAGUCCCAAGUUUAAUGGGGGAUUGCACUGCAGCGGCAUCGAACUAGGCCCGGAAUUAUUCAGAAAAGAUAACGGCCAUCGCUAAUUUCCAUUCUAUGGACAAAAUAGAGGUGGCACCUGGAGGAUAUCGCAAAUUUCUCCCAAUUUUAAGGGGUUGCUCGGUUUCCAAAAAGAUAUUUCAAAAAAAAAAACUUCACAGAAAGAGUAAUAUUUUUAAUUUCCUUUUCCAGACUUUAUUUUGUAGUUUUUUAAGUUUUAAUUUUGAUCUGAAAAGCAGAAAUCAUGAGGAAAAAAAAAACAAAACAAAACAAAACAAAAUAAAAAAAAAAAAAAUCGUGAGAAACGUCUUUCUUGACAAACACUUUGUUUGUUAGGGGAUUUUCUUAUGUAGCUCUGACUAUGGUGUACUAACAAACACUCAUAUAGAGCAGGACAAACAAUUUGCAAUAAAAAAAAAAAAAAAAAAAAAAAAAAAGUAACAACAUCGAUCAGACGACAAUAUAUAAGAUCGACUUUUCUAGAUUCUGAUUAGUCGACGAGCUUGUAAAUAAAGACACAUACAUAUAUGUUUAAAUGUAUAGCUUGGGCUGAUCAGCAGCGAAAAGCGGCAGUCAAUCACAUGAUCAUGAUCAUGAUCAUGAUCAUGAUGAGCUGGGUCCGGAGCCGGAGCCGGAGCCGGCGGCGUUGUUGGUGUUGUUGGUCAUCAUGUUCUUGAACUCGUCGAAGCAGACGCUGCCGUCGCCGUCGGCGUCGACGGAUCGGAUCAUGCGGGAGCAGUCGGCGACGGAGCAGGUGUCGCCGAGGCGCCUGAGCACGAGGUGCAGCUCCUCGGCGGUGAUCCGGCCGUUCCGGUCGAGGUCGUACAUCUCGAAGGCGUCGCGCAGCUCGGCGUCCGCGGCGGACGGGCGGGACGGGCGGUGGAAGGCGGCGAACUCCUGGAGGUUGACGAAGCCGUCGCGGUCGGCGUCCAUCUCGUCCAUCAUGCCGCGCAGCUCCUCCGGCCGCACGUCCGACCCCAGCGCGCGCACCACGCUCUCCAGCUCCGACGCCGAGAUCCGCCCGUCGCCGUUCGCGUCGAAGCGCGAGAACACCUUCUCCACCUCCGCCAUCGACCCCAGCCCCUGCGCCGGCGACGGCGACGGCUUCUCCCGAUCCGGUGGAGUUUGGGGAUUCGACAUGGGCGCGCCGCGCUUUGCGAUAUACGACGGAACAAACUAGAACCAGAGAUGUGCAACGACGGGCCCCUAAUUAUAGUGAGGCGAAAAUUGUACGCAGCGCCCCUCAACUAUGGACUCCUUCGUAAUGGGUCCCUCAGCUCAUAUUAUUAUUAUUAUUAUUAUUAUUAUUAUUAUUAUUUAAAGAUAAAAAUUUGUGGAGAUCCAAUGCCUUUCUUAUUAUUAUGUAGUGAGUAUAUAGAUCUAAACUCUUAUUAUGCUUUAGAAUUCUGACGGUCCAUAUUUUGCCACAUAUUUUAUUUAUUUAUUUUUGUACUAAAGUCUCAUAAAAAUUUUGUCAACUCUAAAAUAAAUAUAAUGGUGUAAGAUGGACACUUUUAUAAAAAAAACGUACGGAUAGUAUUUUUCACUUAAUUAUAUAUAGUAAGGGAGCCGCAUUAGUUUUUCAGUUUGACAAAUAGACUUUCAUAAUUUUAUCAAAAUAGUUCAAUCAAACGCAGUCUUGAACCAGAGUGUUACUAAUACUGCGGAAAUAUUAUAUAUUAUAGAUUUUUUUUAUUCUUUAAUUCUGGACUAGUAUAACCACAAAAUAAUAAACCCUAAGCUAUUGUUUGGUUGGGGGUUAGGGGUUGGAAUAACCCCUUAACCCCUAUUUUAUUUCCAAACACUUUUAAAAAUGGGUGGGGUUAGCUAAUCCCACCUCAAAUGAGUUAUUCCGGAUUAGCUAACCCCACCUAACCCCACCAAACCCCAAACAAACACUAUUUUCUAUUCAUAAUAACCCACUAUCCUUCUUAUCCCGCCUACUCCAACCAAAUACUAUUUUUCACUAUCCUGAACUAACUCCAACCCCCAACCAAACACAAAAAUACUCUAACCCCAUCUUAACCCUAAACUUAACCCUAUCCCUGGAAUAACUAGUUUUUUCUUAACCCCGAACCAAACGGUAGCUAAGUAUCAAAGGCUUAAAAAACCUAUAAUAUACGUCAUUUACAUACUGUUAAUAGUAUUUUAGCUGUACUCUGAUAAACAACUAUCUUUUAUUAAAAUUGCUAAUUGUACGUAAAUUUUAGUCCCUUGUCUUAUUUUAGUCCCUUGUCAAUAGGGGUGACAAUCCAGCUUGCUGUUCGCGAGCCAACUCGCGUUCGGCUCGAAAUGAGCUCGAGAUCGGCUCGCUCGUUUAGUAAACGAGCCGAACACGAGCUGAAUUUUUCAGUUCGUUUAAUAAACGAUCGAACACGAGCUGGGGUCAGCUCGCUCGUGUUCGGCUCGAUAACAAUUCGAAUACAUAUAUUUUAUAUUUAUAUAAUUUAUUUAAUUUAUAUUUUUAUAUAUAAAUAAAUAAUUAUAUAUAAUAUAUAUUUUUAUUAUUUAAUUUUUAGCAAAAUAAAAAAAUAAAUGCGAGCUUAAUUAUAAAAAGACUUAUUUAUAUAUAAAGUUUUAACUAUUAGAUCAAAGUCUAAUGGAUAAGAUUUUAUAAAUUUACUUUUUAUAUAUAUUUAAUCUAAUCCUUUUUGAUUUAUUGUUCGUUGGCUAACUCGUGAGCUAGCUCGUGUUCGGCUCGUUAAUAAACGAGCCAAACACGAGCUGAAUUUUUCAGCUCGAUAUUUUAACUAGCCAGCUCGUGUUCGGCUCGUUUACAACCCUACUUGUCAAUAGAGAAGCUAUUCAAUUGCUAGCUUCUCUCUUGACUAGAGGGGCUUAUUAACUAUUUGAAAAAAUUUAAAGAACUUUAUUGCCAAAAUUUAAAAGUUAAGAAGGUUUAUGUAUAUUUUUGUUUCUUAUUUACAUCUCUUAAUUCUUAAUUUUUAAUUCUUUAAAUCAAAAUUUCAGUUAAUUGAUAAAAUUUUAAUUAUUUUGAAAAUAUAAAUAAUUAAUAAAGCUUUUAAAUUUAAAUGAAAGCUUUUAAUUUAAUUAGCUAGAUGGAUAAAAGUUUUUUUAAAAAAUUAGUAGUCAAAGAAUAAAGAUGAAGGACCAUUUUCAAACUUCGCGAAAGUUGGGCGUCCCCGUACGUUUUUUUUUUUUUUUAUCUUGUAAGGAAAGGAAUAAGUAAUGCGGUUGUUUAUAUGGAUUGCUGUCGGAUUCAGCCACCGACCCGUCAUCAUCACAACCGUUUGCUUCCGCUACGGAUAUGCUGGGGAUUCGGUUCUGUUCACGCGGUCUCUUACCGCGUAAGGAUGAGCUGUCCGGCCAGGAACAGCAAACGCCGGAUGAUCGAGGCCUCUCCAGCGGACGCGUGGUUUCUGAGAUUUAGUUUUUUUUUUCUUUGAAAUUGCCGCCGUGAUCCUUGCUGGCGUCGAUCCGAAAAAUUAUUGUCCGGACCUGGAGCGUCAGGCCGAAAGCAGACAGCCCAUCUGACACUUGGAUUGCGGACGUACAACCAGGAACACCACAUCUCGCAUUUUAAUGUGAAAAAUUAAUCCGAAAUAUUGAUCUACGACAUCCAAAGACAUGUAAAAUUUAAGUAAAUCUAUACAGGACUUAUCAGAAUUCUAAAUCAUUUUAAAUUUACUAUUUAAUCUUCACACAUUUUGGUGCUAUUAGAUAAAAUUUUAAUUUAUUUGAUUUAAGUUAAUCAAUGACGCUUUAACAUUAACGUUUAAGCUAAUUAUUUAUUAUAAUAAAUUUAUAGUUGUAAAAAUUAUAUAAAAUAUAGUAACAAACCUAUUUAUUUAUCAAUCAAUAUUAAUACAUUAAUUGGAAACCAACAAAGAUCUUUCCUUAUUUUGGGGGUUGUGGGCCCACUUUUUAAAAUAUUAAUUGCACAUUGGUCCCCAACCUUUUCAUUAUUUUUUAUUUUGGUCCUUAGAUUUUUUUUUUUUUCUUUUGCAAUCAAAUUUUCAAAUCCCUUGAUUUCAGCACGAUAAAAUAAAACUGUUAAAAAAGAUUUUAGAAUUAACGACAUUAUCAUGCCGUCGCUUAUUUAGCUUUCUUUUGUGUGUCAAUUUUAGUCUCUAAAUUUUGCAUGUUUUCACUUUAGUCUCUAAAAAUAAAAAUUCAAAAAUUUGAAAGCUUCCCUUUAUUUUGGGUGUGGUGGGGCUCAUAUACAAAUUUUUUUAAAAAUUAAUUGCACAUUGGUCGCCAACCUUUUCACUAUUUUUUAUUUUGGUCCCUAACCAUUUUUUUUCAAUCAAGUUAGUUUGUAUUCUUCAAUAAUUAUGUAUUAUAGAUUAUCUUUUUAAUAUAAAUUAUAAUAUUAAACUUUGUAUUAAUUUACAUGCCGUAGUGACUAACUAUAAUAAUGUUUAUCCGCCGCAUCAUGCAGAUUUCUUAACUAGUAAAGAUGAAUGAUGCAUUCAAAUUUUAAAAAUUAAAUUAUCAUUGACCGACUCAAAUCAAACUGCUGUCAUGUGGUGUGUCUGUAUUGGCUCGUUCAAAUUUAACCCGAUUCACAUAAAAUGUUGAUCAAAAUUUAUCCUAAUAAGUUAAGGAUAAGUACAAUAUAUAUAUAUAUAUAUAUUUCUUAUUAGUUAAGAAAUAUAUUUCUUAAUAAAUAUUUUAAUCGAUAUUCUAAUCUUAAUCUAUGUGAGAAUCAGAAUAUUUUAAAGAGUCCUGAUGAUUUAUAAAUAUGACCUUUUUCUCUCUCUCUUCUUUUCUCUCUGGGAUUUCCAUUAACAUUUUCGGGUUUUUGGAAUGCGGGCAUGAAAAUGUACUCAAAGUAGCAUUCUUCGUGUCCGGCGUUCGACAACAAGUGAGACGAUCCGCAACGAGUAGGAGAAGACAAGAUACGUGACGAAAUACGUGGAAGAUUUAGAAGCAUUGAGACAAAAACAAUUCAAGAAGGCUAAUAAAACAUGCAACCCGAUUCAUUUUUUGCUUCUAGAUACGGUGGCUAUCAAGUUUAUAAGUUUUCGCUGUCAUUUAAUUCCAACAAUUGGUAUUAGAGUCGUUUUUCUUGUUUUCGCCUUAUCAUCAUACUUGUUAUGCUUAUUUUGAAUGCAUGCUUCGUUGAUCAAUUUUUUUUUAUGUAGAUUUGUUCUAUAAUAUUUUUCAUUCAUUUUUAAUGUGAAAUAGAUUAAAAGAAUAAUAAUAAAAAGAAAAAGAAAAAGUAUAUCAGUUUUAGCUUUAUUUUAAAUUGAUCAGGAGGCAUGCAAAAUGUUUUUUUUACAUUAUUUGUAUUUUUUUUCUUUAUGAUUCGUGCAUUACAAAAAAAUGAAACAAUAAAAAUACAUCUAUAUAUUUUUUUUAGGGAAAACUUCAAAAACCCCCCCUGUGGUUUCGUGCUUUCUCACUUUACUACCCUGUGAUUUAAAACGUAUCAAUUUGCCCCCCUGUGGUUUCGUUUUUCUCUUUUUGUUAUCAAUUUUAUUAUUAUUUUUUUCUUAAAUCAGUGACAAAGUUAAAAUUAAAGGAUACUAAAGUAAAUAUUCGAUAAAUAUAGAUGGUUAUCUGAAGUUUUUUGUAUAUAAUUUAACGAAAUGUUAACGAAAAAGCUUCCGAAAAGAUAAAAAUGAAACCACAGGGGGGCAAAUUGAUACGUUUUAAACUACGGGGUAGUAAAGUGAGAAUGCAUGAAACCACAGGGGGGGUUUUUGAAGUUUUUCCUUUUUUUUAUUUUAUUUUUUUGCUUUGUGCAUUAUAAAAAAAGAUAAAAUAAAAAAGAAGCUGGGCACAUGGUCCGGCCUGGCCCGUCGCAUGCGUGCGUUCGGGUGUAGAUCCGCGCUCGUCGCGUGCAUAAGUGGGGCGGGCCUGCAGCGAUUUAUUUUUUUUACUUUUUCUUGUUUUUUAAAAAAAUUCUGUAUUUUUUUUUGUGUUUCUAAGUGGUGCAUUUUUUUUAUGUUGGUGGGUGAUGUAAUUUUUUCCUGUGUGGUCGAUUUUUUUUUUUUUUUUGUGGUAAAAAAAAUCCAUUAUUUUCCUGUGUGGCAAAAAUAUUUUUUUUGUAGGGUACAAAUUUUUUAAUGUUUCUAUGCAGUGCCUAUUUUUUUAUGCUAGUGUAGCAUAGUAUAAAUUUAUGCAUGUGUUAUUUAUUUUAUUUCACCUAUGUUGGUGCAAUUAUUAAUGCGUAUGUAGUAUAUUGUGAUUGCAUAAUUGUGUGAUAUUUUUUUGGCACAUAAGUUGUCACGCCCCAAUCUCCGCCAAUUUGGUCGGGUUCGGAUCACGUCAACAGACGCCGAACGGACAGAGCCUCCCCUGUCUGCCCAAGGCUCUAACAACACAUAUAAUUAAGCAAUUAACAAGAGAAUUGCAUAUAUAAUAUAAGGCUUACUCGAGGGCAAGCAACAACGGAAGCGAAAGCUCUAAGCUAAAUAUACAACACACCUGAUGUUUGAUUUCUUUUGAACCAAAUUCAAGUAAAUAAUACUAUAACAUUCCAUUCAACCAUCAUAUCUUUUUACAUUUAAUUAUCCACCAAAUACAUGAUUGUUUUCACUUUACAUACCUAAAUCAACAAAAUAAAGUUGAUACAUGUAUAACAAAAAGGGAAUGACUACAAAAUGCAUAAAAUCCCCGGUGGCCGCUACCUACGGCGCCAAACCCUUGCCUCGGUCCUCCGCCGCCCCGCUCGUGCUAGGACCUGUAGGGUUAGUGGUGUGAGAACUACAACGAAGUUCCCAGUGGGCUCGGCAUCCGACCUCGCCGACUUACCCACUAGGUCUAUCCAGGCAUAAGUAUUUCAAAGGAAGAAAAGUAACCAUUACUAAUGCAACUAAUACCAUGCCUGCAAGAAAGAGUCAGUAGAUAUACAAAUUCAAUGCAAAAAUGGAAAUGCAUGCAUGCUCCAAUCAUAAUCAAACUUUGGCUCUUACCCAAUCUUACCGGUUAACUCUGUUAACCCCAAUGACUCACAACCCAAAAUUCCUUAAUAACGGGGGACUCGAACCUCCCUAGGGACCGUCAACUGGUGGGACUUUACCACGCCCAGUGGUGACCAACUCCGGAGCGCACCGCUCGAGGGGAAGCGACCUCCCUCAAGCCAAGACGAAAGGUGAGUGUCGAUCUAAUCCUCAACUUGAGGAUCCAUAGCCACUGGUCACAAUGCCAAUAUCACGAUAGGUCUCUACCUAUUUAUUUUUGCCACUUUCAAGGCCUUAUCUUCGACCAUGUCACUAUGGGUCAAACUAUUUUCAACGGUCAUCUCUCAAUGCAAUUCUUGUUUCUAUGUCACUGACACCCUUGUUUUCUAAUGUCCAAGUCCACACUUACAUUCACACAUCUCGAGGGUUCAAUCACACAUGUCCGUUUUGGUUCUAUCAUUCUCUAUGUUCAACUACGUUAGAAGCAUAAAAAUGAAAUCAAACCAAGUUCCACAUGUAGCUACCCUACUAUAUAUGAAUGGGUAUAUAUAUAUAUGCUCAAAAAUAGAGAAAUAGACAUAGAGGGGAAUCCAACGAUUCCGGCGUGCACCCCCCACCUCUAUGAGUCGUGUGGGUGUAGAAUAUUAAGGCCCCCGCACUUUACGAAAGUCGAUUCCACGCCCUAUAAUCAAAUAGUGCCAUAUUAGGCCUUUUUGUAAAUGAACUAUACUCUAACAUUUUCGAAAUAUUAAACGAAGUUGUCCAACGUGUUUAGGGCACCCCCAAUUAGGUUUCUACGGGGUCAAUUUGUCCCCGAAAAAUCAUAGGGCAAAAACCCCAAUUUCAUGCCCUAAUGUUGCCAUUUUAGGGUUUUCCAUGAAUCGAUCCCAACCCUAAGCAAAGAAUAGCUUAGGUUCAUCUAAGAAGCAUCCUAGUAAGGUUUCUAAACCUUUGGUACCAACCCUAGGGCUCCAAACAUCAUUUCCAAGGAUUCACCAUGAGAGCACCUUGAGCUCUCAUGGGUUCCAUGGUGUUCAUGGCUCAAAAGAGCUUCCAAAACCUCUAAGGAGCACAAAGCUCCAAAUCUCUUAACCAAAAUCCAAACCCUAGAGGAAAACCUUACAAAACUUACCUCUAGUCCAAGCUCCACCAAGAUUCUUCUUGUUGGAGAGCUCCUAGAACCUCCAAAACCUCCAAAUCCACUUUCUUCUCCAAGCUCUUCUUCUUCUUCUCCAAGUUCUAGAGGAGUUCUAGAGAGAGAAAGAGAAAAAAUGAGAGGGAGAGGUGUAAAUGGCUGUGGAAGAGAGGGGUGAGUCAUAUAUAGUGUUGUUACAAUUGCACUUAAGCCCCUCCACUUGAUUCCACUUGAUCUGCCCAGACUGGGCAUUUUUCGCCUUCGGGGACCGGUCUCCCCGACCAGGGACCGGUUCCCGAACGGGGGUUUUCCAGGACUUAGCCAAAUUUUCGAGUUUUUCGGCUGUUGCGCAGCGAGGGACCGGUCUGCCCGUCAGGGACCGGUCUCCCGAGGACCGGUCUCACCACCAGGGACCGGAUGCCUCAGGAUUUCCUCGCAGGCUACGCGCACGGGGACCGGUCUCUCCUUCAGGGACCAGUCCCCGAGAGCUCAAAAUCUGGGACUUAGCCAGAUUUCCAGAUUUGCUCUCCGGGUCCCAUUUUGCUCCAUUUAUGAACUCCAAUGCACUUAGGGUCCACUGUAACUCGUUCAAUUCCGCGUUCCGCUUGUUUUGACGGAACUCGGCACGACUUACGAGGGAUGUGGUAUGUUACAUUCUCCACCCCUUAAUUUAGUUUCGUCCGCGAAACUUCUAAGGUUGAAAUUUAAAUUUCAUACCUCAGGUCGGAUCCUCGAAGAGGUGAGGAUAACGCUCCCUCAUUUCGCUNUCUCCUUCAGGGACCGGUCCCCGAGAGCUCAAAAUCUGGGACUUAGCCAGAUUUCCAGAUUUGCUCUCCGGGUCCCAUUUUGCUCCAUUUAUGAACUCCAAUGCACUUAGGGUCCACUGUAACUCGUUCAAUUCCGCGUUCCGCUCGUUUUGACGGAACUCGGCACGACUUACGAGGGAUGUGGUAUGUUACAUAAGUAUUUGUGUUCUUUCCGAGCUUUUAACAAUUUUUUUUUAAAAAAAAGGGUUUGACGUGUGUAGCAUUCCUGUAGAAUAUUUAUUUUCAAAUGUUUUUACUGAUAUAGAAGGUUUUAUUCUCCAAAAGUGAUGUAAUAUUUAAGGUUAUGUAAAGAAAUGUAUUUUACACAGCAUCGACGUUUUUCAACUUAAAUUUUGGCACAAUUACUUACUUUUUUAUCUGCUUGAUGAUAUUAUGGAGAUAAGUUCCAAUUUUCUUCUUUUAGAAAAAGAGGUUCUUUUUAAAAUGGACGAGUUUCAACUUUUUGGAUUAGUUUCAAAGCUAAUAAAAAAUUAAUAAGAUUGUGAUUUUUGAAAUGACACUAAGUGAUGAUUACGAGUCUAAUGAAGUUUUUGAUCUAGUCCUAUUAGGGAUAAUAUUGCAAUCUUGAUAAUUUUUGGAAAUAUGCCUAAUGUUCAAACCUAUUUUUGAAUGUAGUAAAAUAACUUUAAAAAACGUAAUAGCUGAUAUUAUUAGGGAUGAUAAUCUAAAUGAAAAGAAUUAUGAUAUCUGGCAAAAAAAAAUAUAAUACAUGCAAAAUGAAUAAGGGGUUUUUUGAAACUCUCUUUGUCAAAUGGUCAUGCCUUCGGAAAGCAUUACUGCACAGCAUAAAAGGAAGGUCUAUUAUAGCACACUGAACUUUAGCAAAUUGCUGAGUUUUAAUGUGAGAAUAGCAUUUUGAGCUAUUUCGAAAGUUUUGGUUGAUAUUCCUGGUGUGUAGGUCUAUUUUUGGAGCUUAAUAAGAGCGGCAACGAGUUUUGACAUCAAAACCUGCAAAACUGUAGUUUUUGCAUUGAGUACCGGUACUGGGUAUGAGGUACCAGCACUUAGUAGAAGGCAGAUUUGUGCAGUUGUCGGGUUUUGGGAAACUCGGCUGAGUACUGAUACUGCAUUGGGGUGUACUGGUACUGCAUCGGGCAGGUACUGAAUCACAAUAGAAAUUGAAAAUUCCAACGUUUGGGGCUUGCGGAAUUGAAUCUCGGGUACUGGAAUUGCCCGAGUACUGGUACUCCAAUUCGUGUACUAAUACUCUGGUGUAGAAACUGAGAUACAACAUAACUAGUGGAACUAUUGGACUAGAAUUCUAAUGGCAAUUCUUUAUACUUGCUAAGGCAAAAGAAAACAUGACAGCUUGCAUGUUAAGGACAAAUUGUAGAGCUAAGUUUAUCGCACUCAACCAAGAUGAACAACUAGAGAUGAUAUUAUGACAAGUAUUCAACUUUUAGAUCGUCGAUUGAUAUUCCAUAUUUUAGACAUGAUGAAUGAGAUUUCAUACGUACUUGACCAUGCUUGUUUGCCUUUGUACUCAUUCGUACAAGCUUGUGAGGGUCGCUCCCUAUAAGCCGGUACUUCGGAGUUAGCCUUUGCGACAACAUGCUCGCCCGUGCGAAAUUGAGCUCCGAAGUAGGAUGCCAUGGACAUUGCUUAUUCCUAGCGGGGGAAUGUUGACUACCAUAGGGUCAUGAGGCACGACACAAGCCGGGACGGCACCUUUGUGUAAGUCCCCAUUGAUUGGGUAAAAGUUAAUUAAACUUGACAUUAAACAUUACAACUAGUUGAUGCAUAUAUAGCAGUUGGGCAUAUUUAUUAGUUAUUACACACUUGUAUACUUGAUAGUAGUAGAGCUACAUGUUGAUUGACUUAGUCAUAUAGAGGCACGGUAGUAAUUAAAUCAUUUCAUUUUAGCUGUUAUAUUUUUAUACUUCUGUUAUAUACUAUCUUUGCCUCAGUUGACAUAGUGGUGUACUUCGCUUUUCUCGACGGCUUACCCACUGGGAACUAUUAUUUAAUAGUUCUCACCUCCAUUGCUUGUUUAUUUUUAUUUCAGAGCCUUCUACUGCGGGAGAGGCUAGGGAUCGUGGCAAAGGGUUAGCGACUAGCUAGAGCCUCUUCGGUAUUGCCUAGUUGGACCCGAGACACCUUUCUUUUGUUUUUGUUGUGAAAAGUGUACAAGAUCAUUUUGUAUAAAGACCAUAUUCUAUUCAUAAGAUGUACUUUUUGCAUGAACUUAUUGUAUUCAUAUUCUUGAGAAAGGUUUAUGUUCUUUGUAGUAAACUUGGUGAAUUUAUUUCAUAGAGUAGUACACAUGCGUUGAUUAUCUUGAUAGGAUCGAUCUUUAUCCUCCUUGCUUGCUUGUUUUAGUAGACGCUUUGUGUGCACCAGAGGUGCCUUUUGCGCACGGCGGGUCUGUGCACGUGCCGGAUAGGCUUCCGUUGGGAUUCGUGCGUGACAGAUUAUGUUAGUAUCAGAGUCUAGGGUUGAUUCUCAGCAGAACUAGCAAACUAUAGGCUGGUUGUACUAUAGGAACUAAGAACGUGAGAGACGGGGUUUUUGGUGACUUUUGGUGAAAGCAACACAAUUGAGUUGUAUCUUUAACUUCGAAUGGAUGGAGUUUGAUUGAAGUAUGCAAUUUCUAACUCCUUGGAAGGUCAUGUUGGCGGCCGACAACGUGACAUCGGGGAAUAGUUGGGGCUCACUUUAUUAUUUUCGCAUGAUUUGAAUUCUUGGUUUUAUAAGUGGGGUUACAUUGGUGUGGGUUGUUCUGACUUAUGCAUGUUUUGUUGUUGUAGCUUGUGAUGCCGAAGACUCACUCUAUGUUAGCCGAGGCGGCCGUGGCAGCUGAUCCUGAGGAGGUGGAGUCCUCCGCUACUUUCGGAUCCAGUGAGGUUCGCGAGUUGAGAGAGUAGUUGGCUCUAGUAACGGAUUUGGUUAAGUGACAGUCAGCUACGGCCCACCAGCAAGCGGAUGCUGCACGCCGGCAAGAGGCGAGGAUAGAGUGGUUAGAAGAUUUAUUGCUCCAGCAGGCUUUUGCGAGGAUGAGUCAAGACCCUUUACUACUAGCGCCAACAGGAUGAGUAACUGCGGAGGCUCAGCCUCAGAUGUCCGGCACUUCUCGUGCAGCCCCGAGCACUAAGCGUAGGAAGGAGGUGGUGGUGACACUGCCGGUCCAGACACCACCGAUAAGGAUGUGCAGUUCUACCGACGAUGUUGAUUGAAACAAAGCAGGAGUGGCUCAUGAAUUGUUUAAGUGAGUUCCAGAAGUAUAACCCCUGGGUGCUUGAUGAUGAGAAAGUGGACCAUUGGAUUGUUGAGAAGUAGGUUCUUCACAUGAAAAAGUUGUUCCAUGACAUAUUUGUGGAGGAGUAAGAUAAGGUGUGAUUGGCAACACACCAUUUGGAUAGAGAGGCAUACCAAUGGUGCGAUGAUAUUCGAGAUGAUCCCAAUACCGAUUUGGUGACGAUUACUUGGAAGUGAUUUAAGGAGCUUUUGUCGUUGACUUACUUUCCCCAAAGUGUCAAGCGGCAAAUGGAGCAAGAUUUGCACAACUUGUGCUAAGGAGAUAAGUCUAUGGCAGAAUAUGAAAGAGAUUUCUCCCGCCUAUUACACUGCGUGUCUUUUGUGGUGAGGGACGACGAGGACAAGGCCAACAUUUUCGAGUUGGGCAUUCGACCAUCACUCUUUAAGUUGGUCUAGGCUACAAAUUUGAAGACCUAUUUAGAGGUUGUGGAUUGCGCCUUGGUUGUAGAAAAAGGCGCUGAGAUUGUUAAGGAGGAAAGAGAAGAUCUGGAAAGGACUAAACGCAAGAGGCAAGCAGCUAAGGGAAGUGUAAAUCCAACUCUAGGAGGCCGCCUAAGCAUCCGAGGAGCCAAUCGCUGGGACGUGGCUCUACUUCAUUGCGAGGAGCACCUGCUCGUAGUCGGCCAUCGUGUUGCGUUAUUUGUGGCGGUCCUCAUGUUUCGCCAUAAUGCCCACAGCAUGGGGGUAAAUGCUUUCUGUGUGGCCAAGAGGGUCACUUUCGAUCGGAGUGUCCGAGAGGUUCUUCACCAGUGCCGUUGUCUACAUCCGUGCUAGUUUCACUAGGUCAGAGUCAAGGGACUUUAUCUACCCAUCACCAGGCAGGAUGAUCACCAGUAUUGCAGCAAUACGAGGGGUCGCGGCAGGCACCUAGCAGGCGCAUGUAUGCAGUUCAGACAGAGGAGGUAACAGUAGCACGGGAGGUCGCUGCAGGUAUCAUUUUAAUUAAUGACAUAAGAGUUAGAGCAUUAUUUGACAGCGGUACAUCACAUUCAUUCAUCAAUCGGCUAUUUGCCGAGUUGCAUGGCAUUAAGCUUAUCAUUUGGGCUAAUUCGGGCCUAGGGUUGGCCCAGCCCGGCUCGAAUAAAAUUCGGGCUGGACUGUGCUGGGCCAUAUUUGAUGGACACUUGCGCAGCAUGGCCCUCGGGCCCGGAUGGCACGUGCCAGGCCUGGCCGGGCCCGUUCUGGUCCUUUAAUUUUUUUAAUUUUUUUAAAAUAUAUAAAAAUAUUUAAACAAAAAAAAGUUUUUGUUUCUAUUUUUUGCUAAUAUAUUAGCUAAAAAAUAAAAUUUAUUAAAACAUUUAUAAAGUAAUAAAUUUUUAAAAUAAUUUUAAAUUUUAUGAAAUUUUGAAAUUUUUAAAGAAUUUUUUUUAAUAGGUUUGGAGUCUCCCUAGAGGGCCUAGAGCCUAGGGCUCUAAGCCCUCUUUUUAUCUCCUUUGGGAGUUGGGGAGCCAACCUCCUAAGGUGUUGCUUGGGAAGUUGGGGAGCCAGGGAUGGCUUUCCAACUCCCCAAAAGACCCCAGGAUGGGUUAUACUAGCCCGGCAGGCACGGUCCAUGUGGGUCGUGCCAUGUCGGACCGCUCGACAACUAUCAGGUCGGCACGGCCCAGGCCCAUAACGGGUCGUGUCGUGCUGGGCCGACGGGCCUCGUGGUGCUGGCGCAGCACGACCCAUAAUACUGGAGUGGGCCGGCCCCGCACGGGUUCUACAAUACCCAUGCCAUGCUUUGGCCCGGCCCGCAGUUGUGCUGGGCCAGGCCGGGCGGCCCACGGGUCGCCCAAUCCAUUUUACAUCCCUUGAUGUAGAUUGGCUAUUGGAUUUAGGCUUGGGCUAAAGUCAGGCCCAUAUAUUUUGGAUUUAGUUUUGGAUGUGGGUGCAAGCUCGGUUUAGGCCCAUAUGGUGUAGCUAAUGGUUUGAAUUGUGUUCACAUGGUUAAAGUUUGGGCUUAUAUUAUAAAGUCUAGAUUUGGGCUUUUGAGUUCACAAGACUCAAACUUUCUUGAUGCAUCAAUUUAGGUUUGGGUUCAUAAGGUUAAGAUUAGGCCCGUACAGCUUAUUCAAACUUGAAAUUCUAAUUGAAGACUUCAAAUAUAUUUUGAUGUUCUGAAAUCACGUUUUAACUUUGAGUUUCUAAUCCAUAAAUAAAUUUUCAUUUACUAUAUAUAUAUAUAUAUAUAUAUAUAGAGAGAGAGAGAGAGAGAGAGAGAGAGAGAGAGAGAGUCUGGCUGGGAUACUAUCGAUAGUACCAAGAGCUUGGUACUAUUGAGUUUUCCACUGUUAAAUUUAACCAUUUGAUUAUUUUUAUCCGUUAGAUUAUACUAUUCAACCAACCACCCACUCAACCCUAUGGGGCCCUCAUCAUCCUAAUCACAUAUUUCUCAAUCCAAGAGUUAAAAAAAUUAAAUAGCACUAAGCCCUUGGUGCUAUUGAUAGUAUUCCAUCAUAGUAAAUACAGCUAAUUUUGGAGCUCGCGGCAUGCCCAAAAUAGAAAAAAAAACUCUUGUUCACCUCGCCCAAAACAAAAAAAAGAAAAAAAAAACCUUUUGUAAACCUUUGCCCCCUCCCUCCCAAAAAAAUAUUACUCGAUCAAAAAGGUUUAAUCUCUUAUGGACUAUCUUAAUCUCUUAUUUGCUUAAUUAUUUAUUUAUUUUGAGGCAUAAUAUAGUUUGCUAUUUUUUUUUACUUAAUUAGCUUAAUUUUGUAGCUCUUUAUUCUUAUAUUCUUAAGAAAUAUGAAUAUUUAUGCUAAUAGCAUAAAUCUUGAGAGAAAAAAAAAUUAAUUUAAUAGCCGAAUUUUUUAUCCCGAAUUUUUAAUUAGUGAACAUAUAAUAUCCGUAUAAAUCACGUAUCUGAAUAAUUGACAAAUCUGUUUUUUAGCCGUAUUUUUCAACGAAUUUAAAAAUUAGAAGACGAAUUUUAUCCGAAUUAUACCCGUAUCAAAUUUUUGUCGAAUCCGAAUUAACUAACUAUGGUCCGUAUACACUAUUUUAAAGUGAUUCAAAAUAAUUUAGGUUUUGAAUGCUUAAUUCAAAACCUAAUAGAAAAAAAUGAAAUAAAAAAAAAAUUAAUAUUUCCUUUCUUCCGUCUCCUGUCUUAGGGUAACAAUAAUAAUAAUUUCUCGCUUUCCUUUACAAUAUUUGUCAUUGUGAGCAUUGAUUAAUAUAGUCGGCAGCAACGUAGUAUUCAUGGGCGACCACCAAAUCAGGCUCACUAUAUAUAUACAUAUACACACACGGCAAAAAGCUGCGAUCUCCGAUCGUUGUCGUGAUGCCCAUGAUUACGAAAUGAAAGUUUUCAAAGCAGAAUUGGACUUCGAGCUAAAGGAGUUCCGAAGCCAUAGCCGCAAAGCACCCACUUCAUUAAUAAAGACUCCGGCCACAUUAUCUAUUCAUCAUAAUUAAUUUACAUCUAAUUAAUUUGCAUGCAUGUGAGAGGGCUUGUCCAAUCUCAUGAUGUUGCAUGGUCAAUAAAUAUGAAAAUAGUAAACAUAAGGUGAUGUUUGCCUUCCCCCCAGUGUACGCAAUACACAUGCUAUUUCUAGAGAUAAUGGUAACGUGCAGUGGAUGGUAACAAGCGAAAGAUCAUCGGCUUCCAUCUCCUCCGUCAUGAUUGCCGUUGCGCCAUUACUUCCACCAACGGUUAAGCGCCGGCGGACAAAACUCUGCCAUUGUGGUCGAUGCCUAGAUGGGUAAAGGCCGUUUUUCUUUUCCGCCGACGGCUAGGCGCCAAGCGAAAUAUCAUCGUCUUUCAUCUCCUCCAUCAUGAUUGCCGUUGCGCCAUUAUUUCCGCCGACGGCUAAGCGCCGGCGAACAAAACUCCGCCAUUGUGGUUGAUGCGUAGAUGGUUGGAGGCCGCUCUUCUUCUUUUCGGCCGACGGCUUGGCGCCGAGCAAAAUAUCAUCGGCUUUCAUCUCCUCCACCAUGAUUGCCAUUGCGCCAUUAUUUCCACCAAUGGCUAAGUGCUGACGGACAAAACUUCACCAUUGUGGUCGAUGCAUAGAUGGUUGGAGGUCGUUCUUCUUCUUUUCCGCUGACGGCUAGGCGCCGAGCGAAAUAUCAUCGGCUGUCAUCUCCUCCAUCAUGAUUGUCGUUGCACCAUUAUUUUCGUCGAUGGCUAAGCGCUCGCAGACAAAACUUUGCCAUUGUGGUCGAUGCGUAGAUGGUUGGAGGCCGUUCUUCUUCCGCCGGCGGCUAAGCGCCAAGCAAAAUAUCAUUAGCUUUCAUCUCCUCCAUCAAGAUUGCCGUUGCACCAUUAUUUUCACUGACGGCUAAGCGCUAGCAGACAAAACUCCGCCAUUUUGGUCGAUGCGUAGAUGGGUGAAGGCCGUUCUUUUUCCGCCGGCGGCUAAGCGCCAAGCGAAAGAUCAUCAGCUCCAUAUCUUCUCCACCGUGCUUGCCGAUGCACUAUUGAUGGAUGUAGAUUAAAGAGGGAUAGAGAAGGUUCUUUCUUUCUUUUUCUUUUUCUUUUUUUUUUUUGAGAGGAGGAAGAAAGGAAACAUAGUCUCUAUUUUUUUUUUGAUGAGUACUUUUUUUACCUAAUUUUGAACAAACUUUGCUUUUUUAUCUCCCAAAAAGUUGAUCUCUAAAAUUCUUUAAAGAUAUUUUUGUCAUGCCCCGGGACCCAGCGGAAGCUAACCCGGUGCGUGUCCAGACCCGCCAUAUGCCUGCACAUAUAAGGGGUCUACAACAAUAUGAUAAUUAAAGCAAGAAAAGAAAGCAUCUAGUAGGUUAUCAGAGCAUAAUAACAACUACAUUCUAAUAGCAAGUAGAAGAAAAUGAAACUGAACAACUAUCAGAAUCCAAAAGAGAGGUACAUCAAAAGACCCACAAGAUACAACUAAAGACAAAAUGGUGGUCUCUUAACAUUGGGUAUAAAAUCUCUCUCUCUCUCCAAUUAUACAAAAAGGAGAGAUAGCCACCUAGUAGCAAUGAAACUCCACUAUCUAGCUAGAUGCAACUCCUUUGCCGCGAUCCCUAGCCUUUCCCGGUGUGGAUGGCUCUGAAAUAAAAGCAACAACACAGAGGGUGUGAGAACUAUUAAACAAUAGUUACAGUAUGUAAGCCGCCGACAUCAGCGAAAUACACCACUAGGCUAUAGAGGCAAAAGUAGUAAAAAAGCUGAAUUAGGCAACAAGUAAAAUGUCACGCCACGAGACCCGCCUUUUUAGUCGGAUUCGAGCACGCCAACAGACCGCCGAACGGACAGGGUUUUUCCUGUACCACGGACAGAGUUUUUCCUAUACGUCCAAGGCGUCACAAUCCAUACAAUGCGCAAGGUUCCAACCAGGAACAGUAUUCAAACAAAGAUUGUAUAAGGAAGGUAUAAAAAACAUAAAUCACAUACAUUUACAUAUUACAUUCUUAACUCUUUUUAGCUUCCAAAUACAAUAAGAUUUAAUAUAAUUAUUUCAACUUGGUUCUUUUCCUUUUUCACAUCCCUAAGUAGCCAACUCAGGGUGCUGCUAUCUCUGGUCUCAGUGGUAGGGCGCUAUUUACAGAGAUACGCCAUUUCCUCGUGCCGCUGCGCCGCUCGCGUGUGAACCUGAAACCUCCAAAACCACGUGGGGUGAGAACUAUAUAAAUAUAGUUCCCAGUGGGUACGGCCACCCAAGGGAAGAGCUCGACCCACCAAGUCCAAAGGAGGCACUGCAAACAUGUUAGUCCAACAGAUAUCCACAUAUAUAUUAUCAUAUGAUUUAUGCAACUAACAGUUAUCAUAUUCAUGCCUCUCAACAUGCAACAAUGCAAUAUGCGACUCAUGCAACUCAUGCAAGUAGAUCAAUUGAUUCUACUCUCUAUCACUUGCCAUUGCUGUUCUUUAUCAUUUACCAUUCUCUAUUAUUUAACAUUCUUUAUUCUUGACAUUCUUUAUUCUUUUCUAAGGUUACUUUUACCUUAGCCAACUAUGCUCAUUUGCCACUCUUUCCUAANUGCAAGUAGAUCAAUUGAUUCUACUCUCUAUCACUUGCCAUUGCUGUUCUUUAUCAUUUACCAUUCUCUAUUAUUUAACAUUCUUUAUUCUUGACAUUCUUUAUUCUUUUUUAAGGUUACUUUUACCUUAGCCAACUAUGCUCAUUUGCCACUCUUUCCUAAAGUUAUUUUUACCUUAGCCAACUAUGCUACUCGACUCGGUCUUGAGUCAAUCAACCGCGGAAAUGCCGCGCUCCGUUUGGCUCGAGGUGAAGGAACUCUCACAUGCACCUCAAGCUCAACGGACCAACGAGCGAGGAGAAGCACACGUACUUGCAGUUAUGAUUCACUUGCGCUCAGUCGCAAGUCUCAAUCGCUGCACUAGCAGCUGGCACUCGCAGCCAUCAUUCCCACAAGUCUCGAUCGCUGCACUAGCAGCCGCUGCACUCGCAGCCAUCCUCUCCGCAAGUCUCGAUCGCUGCACUAGCAGCCGCUACACUCGUAGCCGGGAUCCCGGAAUCCACUUUUCAUGUCUCAAGGGUUGGUCUGACCCUAUGUCAACCUUUCUAGAUUCAAGCCAUUACUCAACCUAUGUUUAAUCACAUUAGGUUAAAUGCCACUAUGCUCAUAGCCUAGGUUUCGCAACACUAGGUCCAAUGCCACUCAGGGAUCACCUAUGUUCAAUGACACUAGGUUUCAUUGCCACUCACCUAAGUUUACUUAACUCUAGGUUUUAUUCUCAAUUUAUGUCCAAUGACACUAGGUUCAAUGCCACUCAUGAUUCACCUAUGUUCAAUAACACCAGGUUUCAAUGCCACUCAUGAUACUUGUUAUCCUAAUUAUCCACGCUUAGGAUUCUUUACAUGCCACACUUGUCAAGUUCUUUAUUCUUUCUCGAGUUCAUCGACCUCGAUUCAACAUUCACAUCUAGCAUAUGCUCACAAGAUAUCAACAUGCAUGUAUCCUCUAGCAUCUAAUAUAUCGUACUUGGCAUCUUUAUCAUGCAUUCACAUUCACAACUAGCAUCUCUAUCAUGCAUUCACAUUCAUAUGUAUCUAGCACAUGCUACAAUAUAUCAAUAUGCAUAUACUUUAUAGUCCAAUGGUAGUCAUUAUACAACUUAGCAUUUACCUCAUGCAUUCAUUAUUAGCAUACAUCUCAUGCAUUCUUUAUUAGCAUCUAGCUCAUGCAUUCACUUAUCUUCUAGCUCAUGCCUACUUGAUUAGCAUACAGCUUAUACAUUCAUUUAGCAUUUAGCUCAUGCAUUCACUUAGCUUCUAGCUCAUGCCUACUUGAUUCGCAUACAGCUUAUACAUUCAUUUACAUUCAUUUAGCAUUUAGCUCAUAUAUAUAUAUAUAUAUAUAUAUAUCUUACGCAUUAAUUGUUAUUUAUCAUAUGCAUUCAUUAGCAUCUAUUUUAUGCAUUCACUUAGCAUCUACUAAUGCAUUCAUUUAGCAUCUACUCAUGCAUUCAUUUGCCUUGUAAUUAACUACCAUUACAUGCAUCAAUGAUGAAACACACUACACUUUGGCAUGGAAGUGACCUAAUCGCUUCGGUGAGCACAACCCACCUCGUAACUGUCACGCCCCGGGACCGGCGGAGGCCCUCCCGGUAGCGUGCCCAGACCCGCCAUAUGUCUACACAUAUAAGGCGUCUACAAUAAAAGCGGAAGAAAAGCAAGAAAUAGAACAAAUAAAAGAAGUGAAAUAACCAGCAACUAAUGAUAUCAGAGCGAGUAAAGUUCUAUCAUCUACACCAAAGUAAACAGAUAAGGAUAGACAAUAAAGAAAAACAUAAGUAGUACAAUAUCUGUCUCUAGUACAAAAAUGGUGGUCUCUAUACAUAUACGGGUACAACUCUCAACCUCUCACAAAAAGAUAACACGAGAGGUAGACCACCUAUCGAACGAUCCCUCGGUAAGCACGCUAGCCCGAGGCGAUACCCUUUCCGCGAUCCCUGGCCUCUCCCUGAGUGGAAGGCUCUGAAAAACAUCGAGAAAAAGAGGGCGUGAGAACUAUAAUUUAUAGUUCCCAGUGGGCAAUUACUGACCUCAGCUCUUGCUCCACUAGGCCCCAAAAACAAGGGUAAGUAACGAUAAUAAUAAAAGCAAUAAGGAGCAUAUACAUAAACUGCUGAAAGAAAGCAUAAAUGAAAUGCUAGUCUACUGUGUCUCAAAUAAGCAUGAUGUCAACCAAAAUGUACAUCUAUUCUAUCAUUACAAUUAAGUCCAAUCACACUAGUUUAAUGUUGUUAACCUUUGUCAAUACAUAAUGUUGUAGUUCUAAUAUGGCAACCACGUAUACUACAUGUCUCACACUAUGCUAAAAGCAUGUAAUGUAACCCAACUACUAAGUCUAUCUAGUAGUGAUCAUUCAUCCUCAACCCCGUGUCGAUUUCCAUUUCCAAUUAGGGACUUACCCAAGGUAGUCCAGCUUGUGCCGCCUAAGUGCCUGUGGUAGCCCGACAUUCCUACUCUUGGAAUGUGUCUGUCCCACUCGGCCCCGUAGGCUUCUCGAUACCGCACGAGCGAACAUAAGUCGCGUAGGCUAACUCCGGAGUGCCGGCUUGUAGGGAGCGACCCUCACAAGCAUGUGCGAAUGAGCACAAAUGGCAAGCAAGCAUAGUCCAAGUCUCAAAUAUCCAAUCCUCAUGUCUCUAACAUGGUAUCAUAACUAGCAUCCCGAAGAUCUAGUCUAAGUCACAAUGUGAAGUUUCAACAGUUGCUACGCCUAGUGCCCCUUGAUGACACUUAGGCAAUUUGAUGUUCAACACGUUUUCCAAAUCCCUCAAUGGCCCUAUCCACUAGGUUCUCACAAGUCCUGAGCUCAAUGCCGCUUGAUGACAUUAGCUCUCCAAUUCACAUGAUAUCAAGUUCGAUGCCUACAAUUGUAGCAAUUGUCAUCUUUCAUGUCCCAAUUAAACUUAUGUUUAAACGCAUGAAUCAUAGCUCAUUUACUCUCUAGAAUCAUGAAAUCAAACCUCAUAUAGAAUGCUAAAUGCAACCAAAGAUCUCUCAAGCAACUCUCUACUACAUAGAGGUCCAAAAAUUCAUCAUAUAUAACUUAUGCAUUUUAAGCAUUCUAAAACUCAUAAUAAAUGUAUUUAAUAUGAAAAUGCAUGAAUUAUUAGUAAACCAAGCACUUAUCACCAAAUAUGAGAUUUUCUCAUAUUAUAGGCUAGGUCAAACCCACCGACGACAACGAAGCUUUUCGAUCCGCCGAACGAAGGUUUCGGCAAGCUCCCUAGUACCCUAAGAGCAUCAAUAACGGGGUUACCCAAACGAAACGAAGAGCGAAAAGCUCAAACAUUAAGCAUCUAGCAAAAAGGGCAAAACUCACCUCAAGAGCAAAAAUCCUCUCUUAAGCUCCAAAUGAGGGCUAGAAUCCUUCUAAUCCAAGCCUUAGGAGGGUUCUAAACCAACUAAUUGAGCUUCAAAAGCCCUAAAACGAAAAUGCCCAAAAUAAACCCUAAAACCCCAAAUCAUGGGUUUGAUGUUGAAUCCAUCAAUAAAAUUCAUAUCUAAAGGGAGAGAGCAAGUAGGUUACCUCUUAGAAGCUUCAAUCUAAGCUCUAAACUCUCCAAGUCCAAGGAUCUCCCCUCAACAAGGCUCCGAAGCCAAGCCCCAAAGGUGGAAAAGCCUCCAAUCAAGCAAAAGAAGCAAAAAUAGGGGUUUAAUCUCUUAAAAUCCCACCAAAAUCCAAAAGGAUCAAAAGGAAAUCAAAGAGGGUUCCCUUACCUCUCCUCUUGCUGUGGCAAGCUCAGGAGAAAGCCCAAGGGGCGUGGGUGGCUAUAUAGAAGGCCACAAUUGCGAAAAACCCCCUGCAGUUCAAACUGCUCAGAAUCUGCACUGCGUACCGGUACACGGGCCCGCGUACCGGUACACCAUCUGCGAAAACGCCCAGCCCGAGCCUCGGGUUGGCUGAGAAGCGGCCAAAGUCGAUGGCUGUACCGGUACAGCCAUCACUCCCGUACCGGUACACAGCCCUCUGAAGGCAACCCGAGAGCUAACCAAAAAUCCGAUUUUUUCGGGUUUUCG